rnacentral:lncRNA from 1 species
ACAUCAAACUGCCAAGGUCUCCUAAGAAGAACAUGCUGGCAUCCAUAUCGACAACAUCACAUAACACAUUUGAGCGGUAGUACUUUCCCAAAAAGAGUGGCAGGUUGCAUUGUUUGGUGACCCUCGUAUUCACCCCUUUCUUGAUCCAUCCAAUAGUGUAGGAAUCAUGUCUCUCAAGCUUAAAAUGGUUCACCAAAUUCUGCGAGAUAAGAUUCUCACAACUGCAAGUAUCAAUCACUAAUUUGCAUACCUUGCCAUUCACCAUGCAUUUGCCCUCAAAUAUUUUCUUCCUUUGUGUGUUGUCGGCCUGUGGCGUUGAGCACAAGAGAUGCUGAAUCACACAUACCACCCAUUCACCCUCUUCUGCACAAACAUCUUGGCCUUCAACAUCUUCAGAUUCAUAUUCUUCGUCAUCCUCGCCAUCAUGGAUUGUUGUGUUGACAAAUUUCCUCUAUGGGCAAUUGCUAGAUACAUGUCCCUCUUCCCAACAUUUAUAGCAUUUUACCACAGGCUUUGCCCUACUCUUGCCUCUAGCUUGCUUCGGGGCAGGUUGCUUUGUCUUUGGUUGGGUGGUCUUCUCUUGCACUUUAUGGGGGAGACUCCUAGACGGGCCUUCCGUAUGUGAAUAUGGAGCCUUACUUGCCUUUCUUGUCUUCACCAACCUCUCGGCCUUUAAGGCUAGAGCUUGUGCUUGGUCAAUGGACCAAACCUGUUCCAUCAUCAAACGAUCCUAAGUAGUGUCAUUGAGACCGUUGAUUUAUCUUGCAAUUUGUUGAUUUUAGUUUCAACAAGGUUGCACCUCACUUGUAGCUUUAGAAACUCUUGAGUAUAUUCUGAAACAGCCAUAUUUCCUUUAACACAAUUCUGGAACUGAAUAAAUAGGAUCUGAUCAUAAUCAGCAGGCAAAAAUCUUCCUUUCAAAAGAUUCUUCAUUGUCUCCAAGAUCUCACACAAGGUUCUCCUCUUAGUCUGCGGUCGUCUUGAAGGCGAUGCCACCAUGCACCAGCUCCUCCUUUUAGCUUGUAUGUGACCAAAGAAACUCUACGGUCUUCUGGAAUAUUCAUGACAUCAAAAAAAGUCUCCACCUCGUACAACCAAUCAAGGCACUCUUCAAUAUCAACAUUUUCAUUGAAAGUGGGGAUUUUAGCUUUCACCUUGUAUGUAUCUCUCGCAUUUGUAGCAUUGGUUACUCUCGGAUACGCAUAGAGGUCAGGUUCUUCAAGACCCUCAUCAGAUUCUUCACCUUCAGAAGUUUCAGCAUAUGUUGGCCUCCUUGAAGUACGCUGAUGUGCAUGUCGUUGUGGUACUUGAGUUCGAAGAUGAGCUUCCUUCCUUCGCCGCCGAACAUCUCCUUCCUCCUUAGAUGUAUCUUCUUCAUGGGUAGCAGGAGGAACACCUUUCCUUAUUAUCUCAACCAACUGAUCGAAUCUCUAGUUAAGAUCCUCACUAGCGCUUGGAUUUGUUGUUCUGCAGCAUCCGCUCUCUUUCCCAAAUCCUCCAUUGCUUGCUGUAGCUCCCUCUCAAUGAGGAAACCAGCAACUAGAACAGAUCAGCAGGGCUCUGAUACCACCUGAUGCAGCACAAGGUUUUGGAGGAACAACUCCACCUUGCUGCUACAAUAUAGACAGCACAAAUGUUAAAGGAACCACUUCAACAUGCUGUGCUAGAUAUCGCUCUAGGGGCGAGGAACUGCCAAGAGUUUAAUCCAAACUCUUAACACACAACAUCUAAGACAAAGAACAUAAAUUGCUCGUUAUUGAUAGAUAGUGGUCCCUAGUCCCCCAAGAUAGAGGUGUGGACCUCUAUUUAUCAUGAGCCUGCACUAAUUAGCUCUACUUAUAACUAGAACCUUCUAGGUAACACUACUCAAAGUUAGGAAAAUAUCCUAGUUAAAACUUAUAGUAGAACACUCUAGAAACUACCACACACCUAUGAUUAAAAGAUAAGUUAUUUAGAAUAUAGUAGAAGUGUGUAGAAGCAUUGAGAGAUCUGACUUCUACUUUUAUUUUAUUUUGGUUUUUUCUAUUGUCCCUCAUCAAUAUACCGUUGGGCCACUUAUGGUGGGCUUUUAUUUGCACUUGGAUUUAAAAAAUAUUAUUUUAUAUCUUAAAAUAUUGGACAGCAAACCACGUGGUCACCAACGAUCCUCAUCCUGGCACACGGGAUUUGCCCGAACGACUGCAAGGACAGAAACACAUGGGCACCAACACCAAGAUCAGUCGCUAGAAUAGAACAGCAUGGAACUCACGGAAAAUGAGUCGGGGACUUUGAGUAUUAAUCGGCCGGGAUCACGUACGUUUCGGACGAGAUGCUCGGGGCUCUUGUGAAUUCGGGAAUUGCUUGUCGGUAUUUUGGGCUUAUAGCUGAGUGGCUGACUUCGACUUUUGGAGAUCUAAUAGAUAGUCGGCUAUAUGUGAAAAGGUCGACCGUUCACUGUAAACCUAUCAGCUAUUUAUAAUCCCUGUCAGAAAAAAUAGAUUUGUAGUAGUGAUAGUUUUUAAGUUAAUUUUGACUAGAAAAAUGAAAUAGAGUUUGUACCGAAAAAGUUGGCUCUUUUCCAAGACUAAAGUUUUUAUCAUGACCAAAUUUUUGUAGGGUUUGGUAUGAUGCAUUGUUGCCAAAAUAUACUAUGCCAACUUUUUGAUCAAGACCACAAAUUUAGCCUUUAUUUAGAUGAUUGCCAACAAUUUGGUAUGGGAAUGCCUCUUAGCCAGAGCUAGUUCAAAUUGUUGACCAAAGUUGGAAACUUAUGGUCAAGAGAAUUUGUGGGUUGUUUUUUGUCUAAACAGAUUUUUGGAAAGGAAAACUUGGGCUCAACAAACACAACCUUAAAACCUGGAUCCAACAUUGUCAAAUGCAGCCACCAAAUAUCGUUUCCUAGUGCAAAAAAGAAGCUAGUUUCCACAAAGCUAAUAUGCUAUAUGAAGGUGAGCCCCCAUGUCUUAAUCACUUGCUUUUUGGAUGCCCGAGACCUCUGAAGGUCUGGCACUUUCUGGGAUUAGACGACGUUAUAGAACAUGCUGUGCAAGUUGAUCAAGCAGGAAAAGUCGUCUUGGAAUUUGUGAGAUCAAGAUAGGCAAUCAGAGGGGGGGGGGUGAAUGAUUGCGCGGAAGCAAAUUAAAACUUUUUCCGAAAGUUCAAACCCUAAAUCACCUUUCUCACCGUGAUAAUAAAAUAGCCGUAACUUUUGAUUGGAUGAACCAAAAAAUAUGUAUGAGUAUCCAAAAGAAAGGUAUUGAAAUUAUCUAAUCAGCACAACAAGAAUAAACUCAAUUGGACUUACCAAUCAAAAGAUAUGAUCAAAUCAGUAACAGCUGAUAGAAAGUUACGAGAAUUAAUCUAUAAUCGAUUUCGAGGAAUAACAAGAAAGAUGAAAUAAUCGCGAUCUUCCUUGAUCUCGUGGUAAACCUGCAGAAAAGUAUUAUGAACUCGUGAUAAACCUGCAGCAAAGUGUUAGAAAGAUCUAACACGAAGAAUCCACGAAGAUCCGAGAAGAACAGAGAUGACACCGCCAACAAAUCUCUUUAUUGCGACGAUGUCGAUCGAUUAGAAAAGAUGCAACCAUGCAUCCAAAAACUCUCUAAGAAUUAAUCUAGAUUCAAAGCUCUGAGUGCCCUCACGUUCUUGCUAAAAGCCUAACUAGGACGCCCGCUAUUUAUAAGGGAAAAUUCGUGACCCUAAACCGAAUCCGAAUCCAACACGAACUCCUCUGUCCCGGUCGGUAUUUUGCCCGUGGGGCCCGCAUACGACCUCGGAUUGAGAUGACUUCAAAAUCAAAGUUGUUCGUCUCGACGACGCGCACAAGUUUCAUGUGGACCACUUUUCCAUCUGAUGCCAUCUUUAUGACGCUACUGUUUAAUCUUUAAACAACUCUCAUCCAGCCACGGCUGGACCUACAUAUCUUCACGUCGAUGCCACUCCAUGCCAUCAACUCUUCUUGUGAUGUCUUUAAAACUCGACCAUCACGUAUCGAAUAUCUCCAAUACCGUACAUAUCCGGUAUAAACAACGUACAACAAACCGGUGCCCUUCCGGAUCAUCAUAGCCUUCACUUCCAUUGUUCUUUCGCAUGAACGUCCUGCAUGACCUUGAUCCUCGACCUCAGCUUCUCCCAAGCUUCGUCCCUCGAUCCCGUCAUCGACCACGUUCCUCUAGCUCCGGCAACACCUGAAAGCGAACACACAAAUAACCAGUACGAGCACAAGUCCACGACUUGACUUAGGGUAAGUUCCACACAACUCACGCCAUGUUUUCACAUAAGAAACUAAUGGAUCAACACACCAGUAGCAAAGCACUAAGUCCAAACAAGAUACAUCUCAUCACAUAAGUAUCCAUAUUACCCAAAGUAUCCACAUCAAUGUUUCAUCUAAAACACUUGCCAAUGUUACACAUCACCUAUGAUUUCACAGAAUUUCUCAUUGAAUCACAUUAAUGUGAUGAAAGAAAAGCCCCUUUGAUUGGGACUACCGCUUGGUCUUUGGUGGGAGAGAAGGAAAGCAGUGCGGGGAGAACCAGUGCAAAUCCCUAGCCAAUCCGCCAUUGCAAUCCAGGUGGCAACGGAAAAUUUCGUAAGAGACAGAGGCAAGAAGGCAAGCAUCCGGCGACAUGGCUGGGAAAAGCCUCCUAGAGACAUCGUUAAACUUAAUGUGGAUGCUGCUUUUGAUCCCAAUUCUCUGGAUGGUACGAUUGGUUCAGCCCUUCGUGAUCAUGAUGGGUUGUUUAUUGCCGCUGCGAAUCAGAGGAUUGAACGAUGUCCUAACGUCUCGAUACGUUGCGGAAGCUAUGUCACUGUAUUCUUUAUAACUCGGGUACCACGGAGGUGAUCAAAGUGAUGAUCAAGGGGGACAAUCGGCAGUAUUGGAGCUGCAAUGUAUGAUGACUUCUUCUUUAUUAUCAAAUUACUAUGUCAAGAUUUCUUUUGCUCAUUGUCCUCAGGAAUCCAAUGACGGUACGCAUGAAUUAGCGAGAUUAACUAAAUUCUCUCCUCCUGGAGUGUGGCUCCUUGAUCCACCUUCUAGUAUAGCAGAUCAACUUUUGAAUGAUGUAAUUAUUAUUGCCAAUGAACAAAGAGGUGUUUUACCGGUAAAAAAAGCUUAUAUGCUAUAGUGGGCAAGUAUGAGUAUUCAUAUAUUAAAUGCAUGAGUGUGUUUUCACCCUUGCAUUUAAUGCUAACAAAUCACGUCGAUCAGAAGUUUUCGAGAGCUGGCUAUUUUAGCGCCGGCUUCUCCGGUAGUUAAGAAAAGCUAUAGCGCAGCUACAUGCACCGGCACUAAGUCAUUUAGUGGUUUAGUUAAAAUCAUAAAAUUAAAAAAAUAUCACCCAGUCUGGCAUAAUAUAUCAUGUACAGUGACACCAUUGCAAAUGCCAAUCGGUAGUAGCUAUCUUUUUAAAAAGAGAAGAUAAACAUGAAAUGGAAGCUAGGAUUCUCAACGUGAUUUUGGAAUGAUAAAAGAGGGAAUGAGUUUGGAGGAAGAUGUACUUGACGAUUGCCUUGUUCUCAAAAAGGCUGUGUCGAUCUCAUUUCAACAGUGUCCUCGUGAAGCUAAUUAAGUAGCUCAUGAUUUUGUUUUACCACAAGUAGCUCAUGAAUUAGCGCAUAAUGCCAGCCAGCCAUGACAGUGGAAAUAAACGGUGGAGAGAAUAAAGUAGGUUGUUUGGUUGACUUGUUGAUUUUUUUGAAGAACGUAGAGUUGUUACCUAGACGAGAUUAGAGGACUGAAAAACGAUCAAACGGCUGCAUGCUAAUCGAAGCCGCGCAUACAACAAUCAACGCUAGAUAUCAUUUCCGGAUAUACAUGUUUCUAGAUAGUACAUACGGACUAGUACAAGGCCAAGCCCCAGCCUGUAAGUCUUCCACACAACACGUGUGAAUUGUGAUCUAGUUUCUUGCCUCGCUCGACAUGGCUCCGCCGGAGAUGUGCCGAGGUAGCGCAAUGACUGAGUAUGAGACGACGUCUUUCUUGAUGGGCCGGAAGAGGUCGGAGGCAUCAUUGCGAAGGCCGCCACGAAGGAAGACGGUACACCAUGCAGUGGCGCAACUGCAGAAGGUGUUCCUGGUCACGAACCGGUUCCCGCUCUUCUCCAUUGUGCCAAUUGUCGUUACUGCUGAGUACAUCCACCUCAGUCGGUUACGUAUGUGAUUGAUUUGUGCCGUACAAUAUCAAUUUAGGGUGGUGUUUUCUAAGACUUAAAUAAAAUAUAGCAACAUAUUGUUGCUAGGGCAUAUCGAUCUCCUCAAUCUUGAUGAGGGCAUAUGCACUAGAUCUAUUUUUUAUUUAUCAAUGUUAAAAAAUAUAGAAUAGAUCGAUCGGCAAUAGUUUGGUCAUUCGUGUAAUACAUUAGCUAGCGAGUAAACAACAACAUACACGUUGGCAUGGGAGAAUUCUUUGAUUUGAUCAACAAGACAUGCAGUCUAUAGAAAUUGAUGCACUUUGUGCGAACCAUAUAUGUCCAGAGCAACCUUUAAGAAUCGACUAGAGUGGCAUCUUUGAUUGCAUUUUUAAGUUAUCCAUGACUGUUCGUUGAAUUUCUUUGAAACUAGCAAUGUUUUAGUUUUUUUAAUUAUUUUGUGUACGAUGUGUCGAAUGGAGUAUGAAAACUUGCCUCCUGUGCCAGUUUAUCAAGCUCAGAAAACACAUCCAAUGGUCAUAUCCCCGUAAUAGAUUUCAUUGUAACAACUUUCAUUUUUUUUCAUGCUUGUGUAAUUUUAUACCUUUGUGGUUGUGAUACUGUGUUUUUUGGUGUGGCGGUACACCUCAUUCGGUGAAACACCCCGAUUUGUAGUUGUAUAAAACCAUUGGAUGCAUGCAAGUGUCAUCAUUCUAAACCUCCUACUACAAUAUUCUCUAAAUACUCUACAUAAAUAUCCUAGUAUAGAUAUUUCUUAUCACUCCAUGAAGAUAUUCUUCUAUUGUCUUUCAUAGUAAAUAUCAUCUUGAUCAUGCCGCCGUGGUCUUGUUCUCUGCCUUUAUCGCCAUCGAGGUCACCCAUCCACCCAAAAAGCGGCGUCACUUGUUAGGGUUCGGGAGGUAGCAUAGAAGACAUAGGGACUAAGAACGAGUGACGAAAAGCAGAAAAGCGAUGCCCAAGUUUACCAUUCUAAUGGGUACCGACAAGUUGCCCCAGGCCUGCGUUGUGUUGGUCAAACGACUCACAUCACCCGGUAAGCUGUGGAGAUACACACUGAGGACCGGUGGUAAAGAACUUAAAAAAGAAUUAUUAACCAAACAUGGGUUUUCAAAAUUCAGGGACUAAGAAUUGACACCUUUGAAAUUGAAUUAGGAUAUCCAGUAUAUUUUAGUCUUUUUAUACUCAACUGGAGAAAACGUUGCACCAUGUUACUUUCGUGUGGUCAAGGUCAAGGUCCUGGUCCUUUGGUGGAAAUGUUCGGUUGCUUUUAUAAUAUACGUAACACAACUAUUUGUUUGGUUGUACUUGACCUGCUGGUUAGUACCUCAUGGCCACUAGUUGAGGUUGUGAGUUCGACCCUUGGGUGUCUACUUCUUUGUUGGGUCCCUUUUUCUUCAUUUGAAUCUUUUUCCUUUUCUUUAUUUACACGGGAUAUUUAUUUAUUUUUGUCUCUUUUGAUUUUUCUUAUUUUUUCUUACUUGCAGUUCAAAUUUGAAGAAUUGGAUUUAUUUCUUGGUUGACUCUUUAGCCGUUCGAUGUGACACAAAGAUUUAUUGCACCGGACGGCUAAAAUUACACGUGAAAUUUUAUGUGAAAAUUUGGAUUUUGAAAUGGGCAAUUGGAUAUUUCACCUUCGGACGGCUAAAAUUGCACAUGUUUUUCUGUGUGCAAAUUUGGAUUUUGAAAUACACAAUUGGAUAUUGAACCUUUGGACGACUAAAAUUGCACGUGAAAUUUCGUGAGAAAAUUUGGAUUUUGAAAUGUACAAUUCGAUAUUGCACCAUUGGACGGCUAAAGUUGCACGUGAAACUUUGUGUGCAAAUUUGGAUUUUGAAAUGUGUAAUUGGAUAUUGCACCUUCAGACGGCUAAAAUUGCACAUUUUUUGUGUGCAAAUUUGGAUUUUGAACGUGCAAUUGGAUAUUGCACCUUUAGACGGCUGAAAUUUCUGUGCAAUUUUUAGAAUCGCGUGCAGAAUUUCACGUGCAAAUUUUAGAAUCGCGCACAAAAUUUUACGUGCAAUUAGAAACACGUAUAAAAUUUCAUGUGCAAUUUUCAGAAUCACGCAUAAUUGUUAAAAAAUCGUGCAUAAAUUUUCACGUGCAAUUUUUAAAUUUUAGUAAUCUAAAACAUGUUGUCACAAUGAAUUCAACAAGAAAACCACAAAAAAAACUAGGUUCCUUGCAUGUACGAAUCGGAAAAUGUGGCGUUGUUAAGCCGGCAGGCUUAGGCGCAGUCCCGAAAUAAUUUCCGUUUACCCUUUACCAGCAAAUACUACUCCUUUGGUGUUGUAGUAUAUAGAUUCUAGCCCUUAGUGUUGGAUGUGAUCCAAAUUCCAGGGGGCCGAAGUUCCGGCCCAACUUCCGGUCGAACCUCCGGUUGCUCUCUGUUACUUUUCGGGAAAAUGCGGAACUUGCUGCGGAACUUCCGAAUAUUCAAGAAUUACCGGAACUUCCGGCCUCCAACCGGAACUUCUGGUGUGCCCGUUACGGAUCUGUUUUGCCCUAAUGCUCCUGCUAUAUAUACCCCUUGUAAGCCGCCGUUUUGGGUAAGGUUCUCACGAGUUGCAUCUGUAGAACCUUCCUGGCGUUCUAAACACUCCCCAUAUAGUGAGAUUUCGUUGACUGGCACCCGUGGUUUUUCCCUCACGUUGUUUGAGAGGAUUUUCCACGUUAAAUCUGUGUGUCCUUGUGCUGUGAUUUCUUCUUAGUUAUUCGUUCUUGCUUGUCCGGUUCAUAAGACUUAGAUUUGUUCAAGAGCUUAAUGGAUGGCUUGUCAUUUGUCCCUACCAGUCCAAUCUGUUUUAGAGAACAAAAUGCCAACUUGGAAACCCGGUGCAAAAAUGCUGGUCAGUUCGAAGAAAGAGAUAAUUUCAUAUUUGCCAUUGAAAAUUUGCUCAUAUGCCCAAAUGCCACUCAAAAUUUGCCAUUUUCAAAUAUGCCACUCAAAUUUUGCAUGGGGUACAAAUAUGCCACUACCGUUAGUUGACCGCUAGUUGACCGUUAAGAAAGAGAUGAAAAGACAAUUUUGUCCUAGGUAGUAUGUUGAUUUUCCCUCUACAACAAAGCACUCGUUUAGAGAACUUAUAAUUUCAGGUUUUUAAGAUGCAGUAACACAACAUUUAGGAGUAAGUUUUAGCAAUAAUGAUUUUGGCAUGAAAACUGAAAAUUUGAGCAGCACUUCCAUUGAUUUUACCUAACAUCACAAAAUUCAUAAUAGCUUCAGAAGAAUAAUAUACUAAAACUCAUCAUACUUUUAGCAUACGUGCUCGCAAGCAUUCCAACAACGUAAUGUUCAAAAGAUAAUAGUCCGGUGACUAGGAGCAUUUAGGUCAAUAUGAAAAACUGACAAUUGACUUAACGGUCAACUAACGGCAGUGACAUAUUCGUACCCCAUAUAAAAUUUAAAUGGCAUAUUUGAAAUAGUCAAAUUUUAAGUGACUUUUGGGCAUAUGGAUAAAUUUUCAGUGGCAAAUAUGGAAUUCUCUCUCGAAGAAACGUACAGAACACACGCGUAUACUCACGAUCGGACUGUGCAAUCGACUGAGACAUGGACGUUCGCAGAUGGCGUUCAGACUUCAGUAACUUAAUUAUUUUCAGAGUUCCGAACAACGAUACAUACAAGCAAGCAAACCACCGAAUUACACGAUCGUGCAAUCCUUGUGAUACACAAGUUCAUCACCUUAUUCGUAGCAAGUGGCAAGCAAACGAAAGCACAACACAACACUCAACACACACGAGUGGACACGACCCGCUCAAUGCAAAAGCUCGAUCUCCUCCGGAACAAUCAUGCCUUCGGUGGAACCAUGCUGGCGCCGAGCUUCUGCACGGACGGCCUCGCCAUGAUCCUCUCCCACCACGCCUUGACGUGCGGGUACGAGUCAAACAGGGCGGCGUGCGGCGUCCCCAUGAAGUAGAAGGUGUAGGGGAAAUGGUUGAGGUCCGCGAAGCUGAUGAAGUCCCCCGCCAGGUACUUGUGCUUGGAGAGGUGCGCCUCGUAGACCUCGAGCACCUUCUUCAGCUUCUCCAGGCUCUCGUCCACGACCUUCUGGUUGGUCGGGAUGCCGCGCAUCAUCGGGUUGAUGAGGCACUCGUACACGAUGGGCGACAGGGCUGGGUUGUAGGUGUGUGCGUCGACUUCGGUCCAGACGUCCACCAUCGCCGCUUCUUUCAGGUUGCCCUCGCGAAGCAGGUCGACUUUGUCCGUCUUGUAUUUGCGGAGCACGUACUUCGAAAUUGCGCGUGACUCUGUAAACACAACAAUGGACAGAGAUCUGAGAGGAUAUUCGAGACACCGAGCAAAUGAGGAGUAUGAUCCAAUUGUUCGUUAUAAUGUGAGAUCCAUCUGCUCUAGCCUCCCAACCAAACUGCCCAUCAGGGGAGCACAUUGAUUACUUUGUGGAAAAAAGUAAUCGAGGGGAAGAAACAGAGCUAGCCUCUCAGUGGAGUUUUUUCUUUUUUUUGAAGAAAGUGGAGUAAAUUUUGAGAACCAGAAAGCAUAUGCAAAUUAAUCAUACCGAAGAGAAGCAGAUCCCCAUCCUGGAAUGCAGGGAUUUGGCCGAACGGCUGCAAAGGAAAGUAUCAAAGAAAGAUGGGCACCAAGAUCAGUUGCUAGAAUAAAUAGAAUAGCCCAGGAACUCAUCAAGGAAACUGAAUCAGAGAAUUUGAGUAGUAGUCAAUCGGGGCAUCACGUACGUUUCUGACGAGAUGCUCGGGGCUCUUGUGCUCCUGUGCCUGGAAGUCGAUGUUGACGACCUCGUACUCAGCGCCUACCUCCUCCAGGCACACCAGAACGCGAGCCACGUUGGUGGACAUCGCCGGCCCGAACACCUUCACCGGCGCCAUUUUUCUGCAGGCGAGAGAGACAGACAGACCAGGGAGUGUGUGUAUGAAUAGCUAGCUGCGUACGAGCGGUGUGGAGCUUAAUGGCACCAAACGCCGUCCCAUUUUAUACGGCAUCGGGUGAUGGGAGACGGGGAGGUGUGGACGUGACGACUGACGUGUGGUGGUCUCUGGAACAACCAAGAUGGACCCGUAUGGGGCGAGGUUGUGCUGUCAUUGAGUGCGUGUCGUAUGCGUGGCGUCACCCGUGAGGUAAGUGUUUUGCUUACAUCCGGAUCUGAGAAUUCAGCCUUUCCCUUUGAUCUGAAUACACUUUUGAGGCUCAAAAAGGAAAGGAAGGAAAAAAAAAAGACUUUGCCUUGUCGGUGUUACAGGCAAAGGGUUUUACUUGAUUUUUAAAGUAAAAUGACUAAAUCUCAUCUGAACGGUUGGAUUAUUAUUUGAACUUCAUCCUACUAUCUUUUUUUUCGUUCUUACGAAUCUUAAAGCACAAACCAUAUCUAAUGGCUAAAAAUUAACUUAUCUUUAAUUAAAAAUCAGGCAACUUAGAUAUAGCAAAACCGUUUAACUAAAUUUCAAUCAAUUGAAUUUGAGCGUAUUAGAUCUAAAAUGAAAAGUGGAGUUUAGCCAAAAUAAGUUAUUGUAAAAUCUAGUAUACCUGGUGGCGUAGAAUUCUCGGAUCCAUGUUGUCUCGGACGCGUUUUGUUGUGUAGAUACAUACAUACGUAUCUAGACAAGUUAUUUGGAUCGAAGGGAAUAUUAGAUUUCUCAUUAUAUUAGCUACUUUACAUAUAUUGAGCCGGUGUCUUUCUAUGUGUCUUAAGGGCAACUCUAGCAGGGCGACCCAAAUUCAGUCUGUUUGGGUCGCGGACCGAACAGAUCUGUGCAGUUGUUCGGCACCCGUCCGUGACCGGACAGAUCUGUACCAAUUGUGUGGCACCCGUCCGUUUGGAUCUGCCAGUGCCCCCCAACGCAGCCACCCAUUUGGUCCCGGUUUAUUAGUCAUAGGCAUGCGGGCUAGGGGAGGAAAAAUGAGCAAAGGGAGGACAAACGCAAGACAAAGAUGCUGCCGACCCAACCCAAACCUGGAGCAAAUUUGGGUUGGAAAUGGGUCGUGACGGACCGAAAAGCGGACGGUGGCCGAAAUGGGUCGCCCCACUGGAGGGCGCGUUUUGCCCGUUUUGGUCCGAACGGAUUGGUCCACCGCAAAUGGGUCGCGUGGCUUGAGUUGCCCUAAGGACCUCGUUUCAGCUCCUGUGUAAAGCAGAAUUGUCAUUUCUUUCUCGUUUAUCAAGUGUGCUUUAUUUACAUACAUGAGGGAUGAUAUAUACUGUAGUAUGUUCAUCUCCUUACGAUAUUGUCGUUGGAAGAUCUCAUAUGCUUUUUGUGAUGGGAUAUGGAAUGCAUUGGAUCUGUGCGCAAUUUUCUUCACCGGUUAACAAAAUAUGUCAAAGGAAAAUCGUGUUUCCAUACUGUUUUUAGGACAUGGAAAUUAAUAUAUAGGAGUUAGUGGAUACUUCUUGUUCACCAACAUUUUCCUUUCUUUGGGAUUCUAAGGUAAAGUAAAGAUUUUCAAAGUGCUCAACAGUCAUAAAUGUGGUUUUGGUGCUUAUAGAAAAGGCCUUACAUUUAUGUUAUAGUGGCCUCCUCGGAUUUGUUUCAUUGGACACAAUUUUGAAGUAGAAAUAUAAGCAUUGUGCUAUAUUCGCAAUGCAUUAUGCGAUUGCAUACUUAGUUUGCUUGAAUUUAUGCAGUUGAGUAAAAAAGGACUUCAGACUGCUUAGAUUAUUGUUAUUUCUUUUCAUCCCCAGAUAUUCUUUUGCUGAAUUUCUGUUCCAAAACAUAUUUUUUCUUAAGCAUCACACUUAUAGCAGAUAAAUUUACAUUGCAAAUGAAUAUAUGCCUUGAAUUGCUAACAAUGUUGGCAUUAUGGCAAUAAGAUGGACCGGAAACACCUUUUGAGAUGCUUUUAGUUUAUGAGCACCCAAGCAGGUGCAAAAGGUUCUUCUUGCCAUGCAUGUGAGAAAGUCCCUUGAUUUCAAAGCAACACAUUGGCGUACUUUUAUUCAGUUUUUUUUUUUGGCAGCCGGAGAGAAUUUAGAAGCUUGGCAUGCCAUUCCGUUGCAUUUGGUGAGACCGAAGAGGAUUUCUUCCCAUAGUUCCCUGGGCCGGUGCAUUCAUAAGAGAACAGUUGAGAGAGGUUGGAAGAGAGAUGCAUGAUUAACCAAAUGAAUAUAUUGGGACACAUGUCUUAAUCACGUGUGUGGAGAAUAUAGUGGUGAUUAAUUUUAUACCAGUAAUAUGUGAAGAUAUUGAGGUUCUAAAUUAUGUUUGGCAAAUGUGGCAAAUGUUACUCCUUCCGUUUCAUAAUUCUUGUCGAAAUAUUACGUGUAUCUAGACGUUUUUUAGAAAUAGAUACAUUCAUGUUUGAGCAAAUUUGAGACAAGAAUUAUAAAACGAGGGGAGUACCAUCUGUCUAUUGAAGAUGACGUCAUUGUCCAAGAAGAGCACUGCUAUAUGUACGACAAAUUCACGUACGAUUCUCGUCCGACGCAAGGCAUGAACCAUCCAUCAAAUGAUCUUGUGGUUGAUAUCACAUCGUACGACCGUCGGACACACUGGUUCGUCCGGAGCACUUCCGGUGCGAGAACACCGUGGGAGUUGAAUGGUUGAUACAAUGAUGACUGUUUAGUAUUAUUAUACUGUGAUAGGUCAUUUCAACCGAAUAAAAUUGUCAUGCCGCCAGUACAUUAAUCAUGUAUUGUUUGGGGUAGAAAAAUAGGAUUUCUAUUUUUAGAAUUCCUCCUAAUGAUUUUCCUAGCUUAGGAAAUACGUGGGUGCAAUUCCACUGGGAUUAUCUCAUUUUUUAUAAAUAUAGUUAUCAAAACCCCUGAAAUGAUACUAUUGGGUGAAUAAAAAUGCCUUUACUGUUUCGAUUUUAUUUGAGUGGUAUACCUAGGAAUAGUUUCUCUUUGAGAAAUUAGUUCAGAAUUUAUUGGAGUAUAUGCCUAAUUAUACUCAGAAUUAGUUCUAUGGAUCAUACGCUGCAAGAUAUGUUUUACUUAUCAAAAUGAAUGUGAAUUUAAGAUCAAGAUUAUAAGUUCUAGUUUACUUGUGGUGGUUUAUAGAGAAAAUAUCAUAUCUAUACAAUUAAGAGAUUAUAAGUUGUUACAUUGCAUAAUUUACUUGUGGUGGUUUAUGGAGAAAAUAUUAUAUCCAUAUUGUUCGAUCAGCUUCUUUUCUUCUUAGAGCUACCGUACUUCAUAUUUUCCAUCUAAUUUGUUAGUAAAUAUGACUUACUCAUCUGCCCUUUUGCAAUCCGCCGUUUUCUAAUUUAGAAUUGCAGUAUUGGUGUCUACAAAUGGAGGUAAACAUAUCAUUUUGAAUCUUUUUACAUGUAUACGUACAUUUAAUCUCCGGUUGUUUACCUCCAUUUGUAGACACCAAUACUGCAAUUCUAAAUUCCUCCAUAUUAUAUGCAAUUUAGAAAUAACUGGAGUAAUUACUUUUCUGCUAACCAAAUUCCUGUUAGAAUUCUUGGGUGCCGUACGUAAUAACAGUCACCAGCACGUGAGGCCAAACCCAACGCGUCAGCGACUGUUACCGCACCGGUCGUGCAUCACCGAAGCAGCGUUCCGAACUUCUGACCUUUUCUUUCUUUGGUUUAUGAUCAAACCAGUUCUUUCUGCUUUCAUACCUCCUGACUUUUUCUUUCUUUUUAAGAUCAAACCAUUCUUCCUUCUUCCGUAACUAACAAUAACGAUGGCACGUUAUUGAAAUACGACAUUGACUUUUUUUUCUAGAAUACACCGAACCGGAUGUAUCACCAUUAAAGAAAAAGACUUCGGAGCAGUUUAGUACAACCCGAAACGAAUCGGGCAAAUCUCACGUGAAUUACCCCACACCGGUCCACUCUACCAUUACACUCUCACUACAAGGGAAGAAGCUAAAUGACUCCAUCAACAAACCCGCAAUCUUCAAUGCAUUUCCUUCAAUAUGGAUUGGCCGCAUGAUCUUGUCAACUGAAGGUGUCUCAUCAUCGAGCACCACGGCGUUCCUAUACUUUCAAAUCGGAGUAAAAUGCACACGCAGUCCCUUAACUUGAGGAGAAUGUGCAAGUACGUCCUUGAACUCACGUUUUGAGCGAAAUGAGGAACUAAAAUAUAUUAAGUGUUUUAUACAUCUAUACGCGCGCGAAGGGGUAACUUGUAAUCCGGACCGUCAAUUAACCAACGGCUGAGAUCUGACUGUGUUUUAUCUCUCUGGCAGCCGGGGCCCGCAUGUCAGGGUCUUCUCCCACCUCUAAGCACAUCUGCUCUGCCUCCCUCUUCUCCCCUUCUCCCCAAGCGGCCAAGCCUCCCCCUUCUCUGUUCUGCUCCGGCAGGAAGUGCCCCGCGCCCGCAAGCUCACUCCCAAGCACCUCCGCCCCGUGGAGCGCCCGCGACGCGCGCCUCCGCUACGGCCGCUCGCCUCCUGGUGCUCCCUGUUGGCGAAGCGCUGUCGGUCGUGGGGUGUCCCCGCGGCGAGCGCGUAGGCGCGGCCUUGCUGGUCGUAGAUCGCGGGCGUCUCCAUGAGGUGGAUGAGCUGGGCCAGCUCGGCGCGGAGCGAGCCGAGCAUCUUCUCGAAGCCGUGCAGCAUGAGGUCGUCCUCCACCGCGUUCUGCGCCUCCACGAGCCUGUAGCGCCCCGACUAGGUCGCCCUUGUCCGCCAUGGCCAUCGCCUCCCUGAUGGCGUCGGCAUACCGGCGCCGGGCGAGUUCGUCCUCCACCCAGCCCGAAUCUCCUCGGGUCGCUGCUUUAGGAGCGAGGAGUUGCAGGCAGAUCUCAAACAACCCCAAUCGGCCCGACGGCGAGGAUGGUGGCAGGCGGCGGCGGCGCGGGAAGGGACCGGCGCGGGCGCGAGGAUGGCGGCGGGCGGCGGCGGCGAGCGGCCAGGGGCGCGGGCUGGUCGAUGCGAAGGCCUGCCAUGGCUGCUGUGAGCCUUGUGUGGUUUGAGGAGGAGGACGACCCUGACAGGUGGGCCCCGCCUGUCAGAGGGAGAGAGGGAAGAGAGAACACAGGCAGAUCUCAGCCGCUGGUUAAUUGACAGUCCGGAUUAGAAAGUUACCCUCUCCGCCACUGUCAACAGAUGAGGAUUCCUGAGUCCUGACCGCCAUAACUUGGGGAGCAAGGUCUCUUUGCCUGCGGCCAUGCAACCAUGGAUCCGUCCAGAAGUUAGCACUCUCACCAUUACCCAAGACCACCUUUGUUGCUGCCUCAAAGAGCUCCCUGGAUUCUUUCGAGACCUGAAGCCCCAAGUCAUGCCAUGGCCUAUCCGAAUCAGUCCACUGAAGCCAACACAAACGAGCUCUUAGGGCCGUGUUGAGCAGUCUUAAAUUUGGGAUCCCCAAGCCACCAAGUCUUUUCGGCAAGCAAACCGAAUUCCACGCCACUAAGACAAUGUCCAACCUUCACAUCUUUCUUGCCCUUCCAGAGAAAACCACGGCAGAUUUUCUCAAUGGCAUCCACCGUCUUAACCGGCAAGUCGAGUGAUAUCAUGCCGUAGACCGGGAGGGCACACAAGGUCGAUUUGAUCAAUGUAAGUCGCCCGCCCGAAGAGAGAAGCGGCGCUCGCCAGCCCUGAAGCUUAUUCUCCACUUUAUCCACCACUGACUGUAGUUGCGCCGCUGAUGCUUUACGAAGGCCCAGAGGGAGGCCCAGGUAAACACAGGCAGAGCCCAUCACCGCACACUGGAGUUCAUCCGCCACCACACAGCAUGGAAGUCGUCUCUUUUCCUUGCUCGGGCAGGCUCAUGGAAGUCGUGUCUAAUGGACUGCUUGGGACUAGCUAGGUUUGGAUGUCUGAGAGCUCUUAAUACAGAUCAAAGAUCUGAUAAUACAAAACUGCUCUUUGAAAUAGCAAUGCUAGGGCCUAAUUAAUUUGCAAAGCUCUGACUAGGUUAACAAACCCAUUAAAACCUGAUCGAUCGGCACGGCAUAGCCUAAAGCAGCCAGUAACACGUACAGCACAAACUACACAAUCAUCAUGGAGUUCUUUGGUCAACCCCUCGGUUAAUCUAGCUUCUAUUUGUCUUUGGCUUGUAUGAAAAAAAAAUCUACAUUUUCGACUUAUAGAAAUCACAUGCCACAUUGGGAACUCCCGAGCUUAAAUUGUUCAGAAAACUAAGUUAUGAGAGCAAAAAAUCACUGAAAUAGCUAGUAGCCGGUAUCAUGUUUUGUGUUCAUGACUUCACAUGCACAUUUAAAAGUUUGUACAAAAGCUAGUUUGUACCUCCAAUGUAGAAGCUCAUGUAGGGCAUGACUUUUUCGAAGAGCAUCUUUCUGUGUAUCUUGCUGCUUCGGCCUGAAUUGAGCUCAAUUUUGAACAACCCAGCCUUUGUACUCAGGAAGAUGGCACCAACACCUUCUGCAAAACCAACCACACCGAGGCUUUCAGCAGGGCACGAGAGGGGAGCAACGGUUCGAGCUCAAUCAGCCUGCAGGGCACCCAGUUCUCCACCGCUCCAUUGGGACCAGGCUCCAUUGACAACAGGUGGAGCUUAUUAGAGUACGUUCCACAGGCCCGCGAACCGCAGCAUGCCGUCCUCCGCCCCCACAAGGACGUAUGCCGAGUCGAACGGCUUAAUGAUCACCGAUAGCUUAUGUUCAUCCAUGUUGUACUCCACGAUUCUGGUGAUGCACUUACAGGGGAAGUACACCAUACUUCCAAGAACAGCACUGUGCCCCGCCUCCAUAAUGGCAUUCGGUUGGUUCAGAAAGAUCACCUUGCUCCACUCACCAGUCUCUGAUGAGUAGACUGAGGCGAAUGUCCCCCGUUGCUCGUCAGAUCCCACGAAGGCCACGAGGAAAGGGCCCCCACGGCAGUCGAGGUGGUCGUAGCGGUCCUUGGCGCAGAGCAGCGCUGCAUUCCAGCUGGUUUUCUCGUCGUCCGAAUCGUCGCCGUCCUGCGGUUUCCACGUCACGUCCGAGUACCGAGGGUCGGCGUGAAUCAUCCAGCAGUCGUCGGUGAUGGGGUCGCAGACGACCAAGUCCUCCUCGGAUUUCGGGGUGUAGAAGAGGACGCGGCCGUGGCGGGAGUCGAGGACGUACCAGUGGCGGCGGUCGCGGCAUGCCGGCGGGCGGAAGGGCGCGGCGGUGGGGAGUGGGGACGAAGCGGGAGACGCCGGAGCGCGUCCCGUAGGGUCUGUUGUGGAGGAAGCCCAGCAUGGGCGGCGUCGGCCCGUGCAAGACGCGGUAGUCGCGGACGAAGGAGGCGUCGGAGAGGAGGAUGGCGCGCCAGCCCUUGCAGACGGCGGCGGCGCGGACGAGGCUCGCGGGCUCGUCCGGAGGGACGCGCAGGAAGAUCUCGCGCAUGGCGUCGUCCACAAGCGCCGGCGGUGGGCGGCGGCCUCGCUGCGUUGGGGGCGGCAGGCUCAUGGCUAGGGCGUAGGGGAACUGUGCCGGCGAUUGUGGGUCGCGCGAUUUUAUUUUUGUCCAGCAGGAAUUUGGGGCGCGUAUCAGCGCUUCCAUCAGUGGAAGUCGAAUGGAUUCGUUCAGAUCGAGAUUUUUCUCUUUUAUUGUUGAUUGACAGCGAGAUACGAGGAGUUUCAAUGUUUGGACAAAUUUGAGUUAAUAAUUUAGAAUCAAAAGGAACGAGUAGUACUUUACUCCACAUUUUAUUUUCAGUUAUCUCUCCUUCACGUAGGAUCUUUGAGUUCUGUCCGAUCGAGGGAGGCGCUUCAUUGUUAGCUCUUCAGGCUACGUAUCACCCCGUUCAGUCUUGGUUUGAUCCUCCCAAUUUCUUACUACCUGUAAUGGCUAAGGAUGUAAGCGUUUUCAAAGAGUAAUAAAGCAACUGACUUUUGUUCAAAGGAUGUAGAGUAUAUGAUUUUCGUGAAUCGUUCCAACUUCCAAAUCCUAUUUAUAUCCAUCUCUGGCUCUCUGCCCUGCGCCCUUGCCCAGCUGACUGCCGUCUCCCUCUGCCGUUCUAAUCAGAUCAAACCCAACGAAGUUUGCCGGUUCUAAUCAGCAUAUCAGAUCGAAAUCAAAUUCUCCCAAGAAAAAGUGGCAAAGUAAUCACAGGAUUACCGGUUAACAUGUGAUUUCUUAACCUAACUAUUGAGGAUUACCGCCUUGAGAAAAGAAGUAUUUAUUUGGUUCCGAAGAAAGCCAUCCAUGCUAAUAGCUUUACUGAUUUUGCCUACUGCUUAUGUAGAAUUAAAAUAGCUGCUGGGCCUUUUCACCGAUUUCGCCUCGAGGAGUUAAAAACUCCAGGACCGGCGCUGCAUAUAGGGUGUAUUUAUCUGAUGGUUCAAAUAUCCUCCUACAGUGUAAAGUCAAUCUGUAAAAUUUGUUAUGAAUUAAGGUUGCCAACAUAUUCAAUUAUUGAAGCUCAAAAAAAACAUAUUCAAUAUUGAAGCUCAAAAAAAAAAAUUCAAUUAUUGAUCAUGAGAAGAAAACAAUAUUUAUCAUUAGAAAAAUAUGGGAGCCUAAAUUAAGGUAAGGUAAUCUACCCCAAAUAAUAAAGGGAGGAACGCUUCCUUCGUCGUCGUCCGUCCGUGAAUUUUGCAAUUUGCCCCUUCAAGUUUUUGUUAAUUCAACCCGCCGUCCAAAUAAAGGACGGAACUGGGUUUGUUUUACAAGGUUUCGGCUAAACUGCAAUUUUGCGUCUCCUUCCACGGAUCUCUCCCCGACUCAUCCCUGAGUCCCCGACCCGCAUCUCGCCCUGCCUCCUGUUGGGUUGGGACCCAAGGCGUUGUCCCGCCGUGCCACGGAUCUGGGUUUUUUUGCAAGUUUGCCGCCCUCCCCGCGCUCUCUGUCCAUCUGCCGGCCCAAUAGCUGCGGCGGCGCUCUAGUUGCCACGAUGCUACUCCACCUUCUACGGCCGGGCGCUCGCCUCCGCCCCGACGCCUCGAGCCGCCCGUCCCCUCAUCCACACCGACCUCCUGCGCUUCACCGCCGCCGUUCACCCACCGGCCACCCGAAUCUAGAGCGCCACCCAUGGCCUCCUCAACCCCCGUCUCGCCUGCCGCUGCCGCCUUCUUCGGCAACCGCCGCUGCCUCCUCCUUCCCUGUUCCCUGCGUCGCCUCCCUCACAGCUGCUUGUGCCCGCGCUCAAGCUCCCGCAUCCGCUUCGCCGCCUGCCAUGCCAAUACCCUCCUCUCAUCACCCGGGGCCAGGUGCCGUCCGCUGCCGCGGCGUGCUCGUCCACCUCCUCCGCUAGCGGGUUCUCUGUAUGGCUGCUCACGCACGGGCUGCCGCUGGGCAAGGGGGCCAUCCUGAAGCGCCCAGUGCCUAGCACCGGUGGGGGCAAGGACCGGCCUCUGCACCCUUUGGACAAGGUGGCCAUCCUGCAACGCCCCGUGCCUAGCUCCGGUGGGGGAGUAAGGACCGGCCUUUGCACCCUUUGAAGAAAUCAACGAUAAGUCGGUAAUACAGUCACUGACUCAGAAUUCUCACGUUCAGGAAUAUGAAAAUUAUGGAUUCCAUGACAAAAGCAAUUGUUCCGUUAAAUUCGAUUGAAUGUCAAAUUAUCUUAUUGUCAUUUCAAUGAACGUGAAUUUUUGUGUGCAUAUGUUUAAGAGGCCGUGGCAACGCAUGGGCACUGUACUAGUUUCAUACCUAUAUGUCUUAAUUUUCGAUGCAGAGGCCGGGGUUAUUCCCUCCAUUUAAAAAAAAAAGUCAAAAAUGUCUUAAUUUUCAUUUUUCAUGGUACGAUAAUCAUAAUUUCAUUACUAUUUACCCCUUGUAGCUGUUUGAAACCCACGGGAGAAGAAAUAAAAAACCAUGCAAGAUUUUGAUGAUGAAUGUAGAGGGUAAUAAAGUGCAGGCAAGCAUAUAAAAUAUUCCAUAUAUGAGUGCAGGUUUAAAGAGACAGGUAGCUAGCUUUCGCUUCAGGUAUAUUUUCAUUUGCUGGUGAUAUUUCAGAUUUGAUUAUUUUGUUUCAAAUUUUGCUAGCUGAGAUUGUAUACUGCAAUAACAGACCUUGCGCUCUGUAUGCAGUUCCUGAUUCUUUCAAGGAUUUUUUUUUGACAAACAACCGACCGGAGUAUAUAUUUUUACGCUGGAAAAAUCAACAAUACAGGCAGAGAUAAAUAUCUACUUGUUACUUUUCUGCGAACCAAAUUCCCUUUAGAAUUCUUGGGUGCCGUAAGGCGGUUGACGAGGGAAUGAUCCUUCGAGUCCUCGACCUUCAUAUACCCGAUACAGCACAACAGGGGGUCCACUCGAAGGCCCAUCAAGUAUAUGCAGGUAGAGUCCCUCAAAGUGCGGCUCAAGCCAAGGAACAUAAUCUUAUUAUACCGGAAUGAACUGAUCUGAUUGUAACAUUUCCGAUUAUCACACCCGAGACCUAGCCGCCAAUAUAUAAGGCUAAGAGGGGGAUCAGGAAUGGCGAUCCUAUAUACACACGCCAGAUUCAUCUGUGCUCCAUAGCUUCAUAACUUCCAUGUAAUCUCAAUCAAUACAAUACACCAAAAGCAGGACGUAGGGGUAUUACCUUCCGAGGACCCUGAACCUGGGUAAACCUUGCGACUCCCCUAGUCUUUGUUAGUCGACGAAAUUGUUGGUGCAUCCCGUGCUCUUCCUCAGUCAAAAACCCUCAAGUUAGGGUAUUGCCGAGGUAGCCCCUCGUCAUUGGCUCCGACCGAGAGGAAAAAGUGCAUCAGAUCUACGAUCUUCUCAACCAUGCCGCUCUCAAUCCGCAAGAGGAGCCGAUCCGCUUCGGAUCCUUGAGUUUCUCAGCUCACCCGCCAACAUUGUGCUCGGCCUUCCGCAACUUUUGCGGUCUUCUGGAGCUGUCAUUCAGAGGUUUUGACCUCCGAGUCAGCCGCGAAGGAAUCAUCAGCUUCACAGAUCUGUCACCGACAGGACAGAUCUGCGAGUCUCUGGUGGCGUCACCAACUGAUCCUUCACCCCCGAUGUGCUCGUUGGGUGAAACAGGGCAAAUUUUGGCCAAAUUUUUUUGCACCGAGUGCGAUUCGCACCACUCGGUGUUCGCUGAAGAUUCCACUCCUUACAACGUCAAUACCUGUUCGAGUGUAGCAAUCAAUCCCGCUGAUGUAACUAUGAUCCCUUGCAUGACCUUGGCACAGGUCUUCGCAGUGGAAGUAGGCGAGAGCAGUGGAGAUGGACAACGAGCCGGCAGAACCAUCUUCGCUGAGGCACGCGCAAGAGACGUGACCAAUGAUCGUCCAACGAUCAUUCUCACGCCGGAAGAAGAAGCUCGGGUCGAGGCCGCUCUUAACGGCACCAACCCUUUGCCAGCAGACGCCACGUGCAAUGAGAUGAUGGCAUACCACCAUGCGCUAGACACUACGCAUGCUCGACUGCGAGAGGAGCAGGCGGAGCUCCAACGGCGGAGGGAGGUCGCCGACGCUUCGAGUGCUCGCAGACAGCUCUCAGCACAGAGUCGCAGUGCGUGCUCUCGGAGCACCCCCAGAUACAGAGCGCCGCGCUAUCAGUCUCGGCUGAACAAUAUCCCCGAGCGAGACCGCAUCGGCAUGACACGCAGUUUGGAUGACGAACUGAUGACGGUCAACACCCAGGGAGAGUUGCUUCCCCGGACGCCACAAGGAGCUGUGGUCGCUGCAAACACGUACCUCCUAUCCACCAUGCCAUCGGAUGAUGACCCGAAGGCAGCAAUCCACAAGCAGGUCUUGGCCGGCUUGGGCCUCAUCGGGAAUGCCCUCAUGGGCCCCAACUCGAACCAGAUGGAGCCCCGACGUCAUAGGGACGACGGCUCCCCACGACAAAACAAUCACACGACUCCUCCACAACGGGGACUGGAAGAACAGCCUCAUCGCCGCCGCAACACCCCCGUACUAGGAGAUGCUCGUGAUAUCAUUACGCAACAGAGAAUCGAUCGCGAGCGGUCAGCCCGUGCUGGCCACAUCAUAGAGGACGAAGAUGAACCUUGCGGCGCGGCCUGCUUUAGUCGUCGCGUUCGCAACUCGAAGAUGCCCGAUAAUUUUUCAGUAUCUUCGAGCGCAAUCAAGUUUGACGGUUCCCAGGAGCCGACAGCUUGGUUAGAAGAUUACCUCACAAUGGUGCGACUGAAGGGAGGAACGAAGAACACAGCCAUGAAGUGUUUACAGUUGCAGCUCAAGGGGCACGCUCGCACAUGGCUGGCUAGUCUGCCAGAAGGUGAAAUAGGCUCAUGGGACGAGUUAUACCAAGUUUUUACCUGUACAUUUCGGGCAACAUAUAAAAGGCCAGUCUCAUUGGAACAACUUCGAGCAUGCACUCAGAGGUUGAGUGAGUCCAUUCGAUCGUAUAUACAACGAUGGACGUCCCUCAAAAAUGCAGCAGAAGAGAUAUCAGACGAGAGCGCAGUCGACGCCUUUAAGCGUGGGCUGAAGCGUGUCACUUUUAAGGAAGAACUGGGACGGAGCAAGCCAUAAACGGUUGCAGAUCUGAUGGAGAUAACUUCGAGCAUGCACUCAGAGGUUGAGUGAGUCCAUUCGAUCGUAUAUACAACGAUGGACGUCCCUCAAAAAUGCAGCAGAAGAGAUAUCAGACGAGAGCGCAGUCGACGCCUUUAAGCGUGGGCUGAAGCGUGUCACUUUUAAGGAAGAACUGGGACGGAGCAAGCCAUAAACGGUUGCAGAUCUGAUGGAGAUAGCAAAUAAGUGGGCAGAUGGAGAAGAUUCAAUUCGGAAUGAGCACAAUGCACUACCAGAUGAUGAAGAAGCCGAGCGAGGACACAGUCGCAACACCAAGAGAAGAAAGAAGCGAAAGGAGCGGGAGCCCAACGCCCCCGAGUUUGUAGCAGCAGAGUUCGACCGUAAUGGUGGUGUUCGAGGUGAAGGAAAUCAUGAAGGACAUCAGGAUAGAAGUAACCGUGGUAACUACCGAGAUAGCAGCAAGAACCAGCAGUGGCAGCCCCGGAGAUUGCGGCGAGAUGGGCAACCUGCUUUGUCAUUGACACAACAGUUGUCGUCUCCCUGCCCUUUCCAUGGCACCAGGGAUGCUGAUGGAAAUAUAAGGUGCGGCCACACACUGUUCGAGUGCCGUUGUUUCUACGAGUUGCAGGACACAUGCAGCCAGUUUCAGAACUCAACGGCAAGCAGGGAUUAUCCUCGGGGGCUAGGUGAGCAAUCAACGAGGAGUAAUCCUAACACUCUGGCUCUGCCACACGCCACUCGAGCUGGCAUGAUCGCGCAUAACGCGCCACCACCCCCUCCACUGCCACCAAAUUACGCCGGAUCCGUGCAACACACGCAACCCGCGUCACGACCAUCAGAACCACCAGCCACAGCUGACGUGUAUCCAGCGCCUUUGGGAAAUAUCUGCAUGAUACAGAAAGGAAGGCCGUCCAACAGACAUCAAAAAGUUAUCACUCGACAAGUUCAUCUGGCUGUGGCAACACCACUCGCCACCCCAGAGUACCUCGACUGGUCCGAGGUCGCCAUUUCAUUCUCGCGGGCGGAUCACCCACCUCGAUUCCGAGGCCAGGACAGUCAGCACUAGUCCUCGACGCUCAGGUGGGAGGCUACGAGAUGUGCAAAGUGUUCAUAGAUGGAGGCAACGGCAUCAACAUCAUAUUUGCGGAUACACUAAGGGCAAUGAACACAUCAUUAACGAAUCUCCAAGCUACAGACACAUCUUUUCACGGAAUUGUUCCAGGAAAAACUGCACUACCAUUAGGCCGGGUUAGCCUCGACGUUGUCUUUGGCAACCCCGCCAACUUCCGCAAAUACCGGAUCGAUUUUGAUGUACUCGACUGGAAUCGCAAUACCAUGUGCUUCUGGGCCGGCCAGCACUCGCCAGAUUCAUGCCCAUCCCACAUUAUGCAUAUCUUAUGCUGAAAAUGCCUGGACCGUACGACAUAAUCACCGUCCGUGGAAGCUUUACAAGAUCGAACAAUUGUGACAGAGAUUUCCACAAACUUGUUGAAUCAUUCGGCAUGCAGAUGGAACUCGCCUCUUUGAAGGCAACGACGGACAGUGACGUACUUCCCAUGAUGAAGAAAGCGCCACCACAGAUAGAGUUCAGCACGAAGAGUGAUACAACAGAGCAUCAGGUACAUCCGACUGAUUCCAGCAAAACAGUGCUGGUGUCUUCGAGCCUUCCUCCCACAUAGGAAAGCGCGCUCGUCGAGUUCCUGCGCGAGAAUUGGAAUUUUUUUGCCUGGGUACCAUCCGACAUGCUGGGUAUUCCCAGGGAACUCGCCGAGCACCCUCUACAUGUGGACAAGCAUGCCAAGCCCAUUAGACAACCAAUGCGACGAUUUUCAGAGCCCAAGUGCAAGGCUAUUGGUGAAGAGGUCAAUCGCUUACUCGACACCCAGUUCAUCCGGGAAAUGAAACAAGCUACCUGGGUGACGAACCCCGUGCUUGUCCCGAAGAAGAACACGAAAGUUUUGCGCAUGUGCGUCGAUUUCACCUCACUGAACAAGCAUUGCCCGAAAGAUCAUUUUCCCCUGCCUCGAAUCGACUAGAUCGUCGACUCGACUGCGGGAUGUGCUCGAUUGUCAUUCCUUGAUGCAUAUUCUGGGUACAAUCAGAUUCGAUUGAAGAAGGAGGACGAAGACAAGACAGCAUUCAUAACACCUUAUGGAGUUUUCUGCUACACAACUAUGCCUUUUGGACUGAAAAACGCAGGCGCUACGUAUCAACGCUGCAUGCAAGCAUGUCUUGGGGCGCAGCUGGGCAGAAAUGUUCAAGUUUAUAUCGACGAUAUCGUUAUCAAGACAAAGAAUGAAGAUACUCUAUUAGAGGAUAUUCGAGAGACAUUCCAGAAUCUUGAGAAGUAUCGGAUCAAGCUUAACCCAACGAAAUGCGUUUUCGGAGUACCUGCAGGGCAGCUUCUGGGUUAUUUUCUUUCUGCAAGGGGAAUCGAAGCAAAUCCAGACAAGAUCAGAGCAAUAGUGACAAUGAAGGAACCAACAAACAUCCAUGCAGUACAGCAGCUUACAGGAAGAGUGGCAGCCCUCAGCCGGUUCAUUAGCAGAUUGGGAGAAAAGGCUCUGCCAAUUUACCAGCUACUCAAAAAGGGAGAAAAUUUACAUGGACACCCGAAGCCAGCAGUGCAUUCGCCGAUCUAAUGCGCAUGCUAUUGACUUCACCUGUCCUUGUAGCCCCACUUGAGAAUGAGCAGCUCCUGCUAUACCUCACCGCCACAAAUCAGGUGGUCAACACGGCCUUGGUAGUAGAAAGGGCAGAAGAAGGGAAAGCGCAGCCAGUCCAGAGGCCGAUAUACUAUGUUAGUGAAGUGUUAUCUCUCACGAAGCAACGUUAUCCACAUUAUCAGAAACUGGCAUACGGAGUAUUCAUGACGGCCCGGAAGCUGGAACACUAUUUUCAGCAGCACCCGAUCGUCGUGGUGAGUGAGGCUCCACUCGCCAACAUUCUCAAUAACCCAGAGGCAAUAGGUCGUGUCGCCCAAUGGGGAAUCGAGCUCUCGCCCAAGAAUAUCACAUACGAGCGCCGGAAAGCAAUCAAGUCGCAAGUACUGCCAGAUUUCAUCGCCGAGUGGACCGAGAUGCAGACUCCAAGCCCGCCCGACUUGUCGAGUGCCUGGACCAUGUCUUCGAUGGAUCCAAACGAGCAGAAGGCGCAGGGGCAGGAGUAAUACUGAUCUCGCCAAAAAGGGACAAGAUGCGCUAUGUCUUUCAGAUGCACUUCCGCAACGCCUCCAACAAUGAAGCUGAGUAUGAGGCCUUGUUGCAUGGCAUGCGGAUGGCAAAAGCAUGUGGCGCUACUCGUCUAAUGAUCUAUGGCGACUCUAAUUUGGUCGUGCAACAAACAAUGAAGACCCGCGACGCAGUUUCAGACACCAUGAUCACCUACCGUGAUAUGUACAACACAUUGGAGGGUAAUUUUGACGGAAGUGAGCUCGCGCAUGUCAGCCGAUCCAGUAACCAAGAGGCCGAUCCAGUAACAAAGAGGCCGAUCAUUUAGCCAACCUGGGAUCUACACGGGCAGCAGUUCCGCCUGGAGUUUUUCUGGAAAUCAUUCAUCAACGAUCCAUCAAAGAGAAGAGCACGAUUGCCUCAGUCAAAAAAUCGUCCAACUCAGAGCUUCUAACUGACUCAACACUUUCACCCGACAACCCCGUAGUCGAGCAAGCAGAAGACAGUGCAGUCGAAGUCAUGGCAAUAGAACCAACAUGGAUGAAGCCACUACUCGCAUACAUGCUCCGGCAGGAGUUGCCAGAGGAUACAACCGAAGCUAGAAGGAUUAUGUGGCGAUCGAAAGCUUUCACAGUGAUCAACGGCGAGUUGUACAAACGCAGUGUCUCUGGCAUUUUUCAGAGAUGUAUUGCACCAGAAGAAGGACAUGAUAUCCUCCUAGGUAUCCUUCAGGGCACGUGCGGGCACCAUGCCGGAAGCGAAACAAUCACCGCCAAAGCCUUCAGAGCUGGAUUCUACUGGCCCACGGCCUUACUCGACGCUCAAGCUAUCGUCAGCAAAUGCGAGGCAUGUCAGAUGUUCGCCACGAAGCCGCAUGCCCCAGCUUCUGAACUCAAGACAAUUCCCAUCGCCUGCCUUUUGCGCAAUGGGGACUCGACAUGGUAGGCCCGUUGAGGAAGUCGCGUCAUGGAGGACAUCGUUUUCUGCAAGUCGCCAUUGACAAAUUUUCAAAGUGGAUCUAGGACAUGCCAAUUGCAAGCGCCACAUCUACAACGGCUAUCCAAUUCUUCAGAUCCAUCAUUUUCCGUUUUAGCGUUCCUCACAGGAUCAUCACAGACAAUGGAAGCAACUUCAAGGCAGCCGACUUUCAAGACUUUUGCGGGCAGAUGGGGAUUCGAAUCAACUACGCUGCAGUCGCGCACCCGCAAACAAAUGGCCAGGUCGAAAAGGCCAAUGGUCUGCUCACUGAAGGCAUGCGGAAAAGGUUGAUGACACCCUUGCGGAGAGCAGCUGGUGCGUGGGUCGAAGAACUCCCCUUGGUACUCUAGAGCCUUUGCACUACACCAAAUUCUUCCACGCAGUUCACCCCUUUCUUUAUGGUGUACGGGGCAGAAGCAGUGCUACCAUCCGAGGCGAGGUAUAACGCACCUCGGGUCGCAGCAUACGCCGGACCAGACUGCACAGAAGGUAUGGAAGAUGCACUCGACGCAGCAGAUAAGGCACGCGACAUCGCCCUCGCUCGGUCAACGGUCUACCAACAGAGUCUCCUUCAGCUGAAACAGAAAAGUCAUCACAAAUUGGCAUCGCCAUGGGAGGGGCCUUACAUCAUAUCCAAAGUAAUCCCAGGCGGUGCCUACAUCCUGAAAGAUCCGGCAACCAACAUCGAUUUCGGCACGGCGUGGAACGCCACGCAGUUACGGCGUUUCUACGCUUAAAUUUCUCUACAAAUAGACUCAGUUUAUCUUUUCAUCGUUUUCAGUUUCUAUCCAGUCAUAUUAUGUUCAUCAGUAUAUCAUUGAAUAAAGACUAGUUUUCCCCUCGUACAUGAGCUGAAUUACUGCAUUAAACACCUCCGUCUCUCCAAAGACCUGAGGGAUGUAUCUAUAUAAUAUCUCUAGAGUGGGGCAACUCUAGCACCACAGUUAAAGCUCUGUGGAUGGCACUUACCCGAAAGUCAAUCAGGACUCGGGGGCUGCGCGAAGCACCCGCCAAUACAAGCAUUGUACAGAUACAUUGCAUAAACCACGAUUAGCCCUGUCCAAGCAAGGACUCAGAACCAUCAGAUCGCCGCUCUUGUCGCAGGCGACACUCAGGCGCAAGUCUGUCGCACUUUGUCACGACACAAGAUAUUCAACACCGUCAAGAAAGAUCAACUGAUAAAGGUACGUAUUCCAAAUAUUUAACUAACAAAGUUUUGGUUCCAGAACAUAACAAAGGGAGAUGAAGCACGCGCUACUCGACACCUAAUUGCAAGAAAAGACUCGGGGGCUGCUUCCCCCCACAAGUACUAAAACUCAACGACGCAGUAGAAGUCUAUAUCAUCUCGACAAGAUUGACCAGCUCUCGAGCAUGCCACUCGACGGCGUCAUAGUAAUACCCCAUGUUAAUCUCGCCGUCUUCAAAAAAUGGCACCACAUGCAAUCCCCCCAGAUCCAGGCCGGCAUAUCGAAGCCGAACAAAGGCCAGGCCAACAGUGGCGCCAGUUACAAGCUGCUCAUGUAUAUAACUCUUGAUGACAGCCGAAUCCGUGAACAAACGGACCAAACCCCAAAGGUUAUCAAGAACCGGCAUGUUCGGAAAAAGUGCCCGAUGAAUGUCAGUCAUAAUCUGGCGGCAUGAGCUCAAAGAAGCUUUGGCCCGGGCAGCCCGAUCCUAUAGAAGCGCCAACACAUACCCCCCAUCGGAGACGAACCAGAAGGAAGGAACCGUCGGCCUCGCCUGUUGAAGAGUGUUCAGGCGAUGACGAACGCGCUCGGCUUCCUCGUGAGACUCGAGGAUAAUUUCUGCAAGUACAAGACAGUCUGCUAAAGACAAGAAACAAUACAGAACGAGCAAUCAGAGCUUAUCGAAACAAGCUCCCCCAGAAGAAAUUUUUCUCGGGUGGCAGCAGCACGAGGUUUCGACUUCCACACGGCAACUUCCCCGCGGAGCGCUUCCCCGCGGAGCGCCAAGAACUGACGUUCAGCGUCCCUCACACGAUCGCGAAGGUACAUGGUCUCAUCAGAGCGACUCAUCUCGGGGAAAGCAACGAAGCAGUUGAUCUAGCCAGAUAUGUCAAUCGAUGAGUCCAAGCCCGACUAUAAAUAGUCGGCCAUGGACUCGGGGGCUACUCCCAUCGGGAGAGCUGAUCGCGCACCCGACUAAAUUUGCCUACGACAAAGGAUAUUCAAGUCCAUGCCUAACUCUGUGCAGUUAGCCAUGCACUCGGGGGCUACUCCCAUAGGGAGCGCUGUCCGCGCACCCGACGAAAUUUUCCUAUAUCAAAGUCUAUUCGAGUCCAUGCCUAACUCCGUGCAGUUAGCCACGAACUCGGGGGCUACUCCCAUCGGGAGCGCUGUCCGCGCACCCAAGGGUAACCCAAGUAGUAAAUAUGGAUAAGACGUACAACACAUGGACAUCGAUUCAUCAUAUACCAUCAAUAUAACAGAUCCAUUACAGUGGCCAUAUACAAUUUUGUUUUUUGAGUCCGUCCCCAACUACAAGGCUUGGUAUACGUGCUCCAGCGUCGAUCGACAGGAGUCGGCAAAACCCCCAAUCUGGUCAACACGAUUUUGCAUCAACGCCAAAGCUCGGCUCCUAUCCCUGUCAUACCAGAAGGACAAUCUGUUCGAGGUAUUCAGCCUGCUCAGUCCGGAGUUCACGCUCUCAAACUCUAAUUGGGGGUCAAGUUGAAGACCUGAGGCAUCCGAAUCAGUAACAGCCACAAUGCAAAGUUAAUAAUCAAACCAGACGAAGGAAGAAAUUUCUGUUACCUGCUAGUUUCUUGCACAUCAUCGACAGCUCCUUCAUCAGGAACUGUUCGCGGUCAGCGGCGGCUUUGGCUUUCGUCCGUUGCACAACCACCUCCCCCGUGACCACCCAAAGUUUUUGCUCAAGACCCUUCAGCUGGUCCCUCAAGAUCGUCGGGUCCAGAAGGGAUGCGGGGGAAGACGCCGGAGUCGCCGCGAGAGCAAGUACCGGUUGCGGUCGCGCGGGAACGACCUCAGCAAGCGGUGUUUCGCGAUUUUUGUCAUCAUCGCUCUACAGCGCCAGACAAGACAAAGAAGCAAAUUUAUCUUCAAAGAUAAUCAAGUGACACACAUAUCACAUCAAGAGAAUCAAACUCAGUAUAUUAAGGCACCAUGGUACUGGUUUCAUCCCAAAAGACGUCAUGAUGGAGUCAAUACUACGAACUAUUACAGCAAGGCAAAGGCAAAUACAAGUAUCACGACGAAGGAUGAGCCCCAACCUCAUCCGUAGCUUCCUGCGCGGUCCGGACAGUCGCCGCAUUCAGCUCCUCAAUGACGGCGGUAAAUUUCUUCGGCAGCUUCCGUCCCCGCUUGGCGUAGCGCUUCAAGUAGACAACCUGCCCAUCCGGAGUCGUCGGGGCACCAUCAGCAACCUUCUACAGCACUACUUGGUCGAGUCCAUGCGCGAGCGAGAGAAUGAACGCAGCUUCAGCACCGGCCUGCGUCUGCCGCUCGAGUAAAAUCUUCGAGUGGGUCUUCUCUGUCGAAGAAACUCAACAAGCCGUCGGGUGAACCCGGCGCCUCAGCAUCUGGAUACAUACUCGCGAAUAGAGACCUCAGGGAAGAAGUCACCUUCAUGAGCAUGUCACCCGUAUGAUCGCAAAGUUCUCCGACGGAGCCCACCACACCGCUCAGCUCAGUCGCUUGGUGUUUGCCCCGAAGGGUGGCCAAGGAGCCAAGGGAGUCUGCGCAAAAAUCACGUCAGUUGAAGCAAUCGCAAGGGAAAGAAAACUUCUUAAGAUAGGGUCAAACUCACCGGUGAGUGCGUCGACGGCAACCGAAAGCUGCGACUUCAAUUUGUCAUCUCGAGAGGCAAUUUCUUUCCUCUCGAGUGCAAGACUCUCCUGUGCCUCCAAUUUGGGACUGCUUGACAGCUGCGUCCACCUCGGCACGAGCAGCCGCCAAUUCCUUGGCAGAAUCAGCAACUAGUUGCCCAUACUUCGACCGCCACUCCUGACCAUUGCCAACUGCCGCAUCGCGUAGUCAGUUGGCUUGUUCGGUCAAACCUACAAGUGCAGAAAUGGUUAACAGGCAACAGUCCAUGCAACAGUAUGGUGAAGGAUUAAAUCUAGCUAAGGAACACAGAUUCAUACCAUUGGCGUGCACAGCGGCUUCUUUCGCUUGGUCCAGCUCCAGGGGUAGUUGCCGGUUCUCCUCCUCUAAAAUCAGAUAGCGGUCGCCAAGAUCCACCAGCUUUUCGACGAAAGGCUGCAAUGGACAGAAGCAUGAGUGAAAACCCUUAGCAGAAAACUUUCACUCAACACUCCCAUCGGGAGAAUACUUACAUGAUUUUAAGGCACCAGCGACCCAAUGCGCAGAUGAGAUGCAGAAGUCGACGGCUGCGCGAUCGUCUGAGCUGGCGGAGUCUUGGGAAGCCCUACUGGCGAAUUCCUCGCUAAUGGAGAAUCUUGCACCUCGCUAGUAGCAACUCUGGCCUUUUUGGUUAGGGGAGCCGACGGAGAUGGCAGCUGGAGCUUCGGCUCGUUUGAAGCGGCCAUGGCACUUGAAGGAAUCGUCUCUUCGUGCGCCUCGUGCUGAUAAGAGUCUCCAGUCGACUGCUCCGCUUCACUCAACCGACCCUGCUUUCGGGAUUGAUGGCCGUCUUCGUCCUCAUCCAUGUCAUCUUCGUAAAGGGCAUCGGAGUUGGAACCGUGAACCAGUUCGUCGUCGUCGACUAGCACUCCCUCGUCCAGCGAAGGCUGGCUCAUAAGCUCCUGAUGGCCCUGUAGCAACAUCUUUCGAUGAAGACUAACAUGGAAAUUGCAGGGUAAUAAAUGGCGAGUGAGCAAGUAAAAAUCACCUCUUCGCGCGAUGAUCGGGUCCAUAGGGUGGAAGAGGCGACUCCAGAUCUUCUAAGGUGAUUUCCUUUCGAGUAACCACCCUAACUUGGGUCAGAAGAUCCUCAUCCGACAGCUCUUGCACGCAAACUAGAGUGGAAUCUGUCAGCCCCGAGUACUUCCAUAUAGAGUGAACUCGAGCUUGGAUCGGCUGAAUCCGCCCCUUCAUAAAAAGAGCGAUAAGCUGCAAACCACUCACCUCUUUCUCGGGAGUCUGCUAAAGCUCGACUACCUGUUUUAAUAGAGCAGUAGCCUCUGCAUCUUCUUCUGCUAUCAACUCAUGAUUCCAAGACUUCAGUUUCCUCACCUGAGCAGUAGCGGAGAACUCGGGCAGGCUGAAAUCCUUGCCGUCGACUGGUUCAUCCUGGAGGUAAAACCACCGACUCCUCCACUGCUGUACCGACUCGAUCUGAUGAAGGGAGAAAUACUGAACAUCUCCACGAACCUGGAUGUUGGCGCCGCCGGUCUUAUAGAUCCAGUCGCCUUUACCCUAUCGCUUAAUGAUGGAUAGCUUUUUCCACAGACCCCAGUGGGGUUUCACGCCCAAAUAGCACUCACAGAGCGUAAUGAAACACGCAAUGUGCAAAUAGCUAUUAGGCGUCAGAUCAUGCAUCUGAAGCCCGUACGCCAGCAGCAGUGCAUGGAAGAAGAAGUGGACUGGGAGAGAAAGGCCACAGAUAACAAAAUCAUAGAACAUAACUCGCUCCCCAGGCCUGGGACGGGGAGUUACCUCGUUGCCCGGGAUGCGAACUUUGCCAAAAUCUUCUCCUGGAAUCAGCCCAUGCUUCCGCAUCACCGAGAAGUGACGCGCCAAGAUCCCGGAGCGCUUCCAUUUCCUAGUCCUCUUGUCGCCGCCAAGCAUGGCAUCAACGGUUUUCUUCGAUUUCUUGUCCAUGGCGGGGGCAGCAUCGCGAGAUGUCUUCCAGCUGUCAGUAGCGGCGCUGGCGCCAGCGGCAGCGGAGGCUUUCUUCUUGCCCAUGGCAGCAAACGCACAAUGGCACUAAGGAACGAGGGGUGGAGCGAGAACGACGGAGGGGAAGUUGGGCUGGAGUAAAGAAGCAGAGCGCAGGAGGAAGCAGGAAUUGAAUGCAGAAGACAAGGAGGCGAAAUGAGGUAAGAAGAAGAAGAUUGAUAUUGCAACAGGAAAGGGCGGAAUCACCGCCGCACGAUUCAGAAUGAUGCCACGCGUUUCGCAUCUAUGUAUGACGUGUGGUCCUAGCAGAAAAGAGUCGUUUCCCCUUCCACCGAUUCAGGAACCCAUGACAGCUAUCAUUGCGCCUAAAUUCUUGCGCACGUCGUAUGGUCAAAUCAAACUGAUCGCCUUAGCAGUACUCAAUUCAGUCCGUGCAUAAAGCAUAAGGUACGUCCCAUCGACUGCCCAGACCAUUUCUUUUAUCAGAGCGUCAGCAAAGACGUCAUAUCAAACUCUGGAAAGCUCGGGUUUCCCACCCGACGGCACAGAAACUCGAAGUGUACCCGACAUACGGGCACUCGAUAGUAUUAUCUGGGUCGCACAGACUGUGAAAUACACCCGAAGCCACGCCCAUAACGUGAAGGUAAGACCCGAUGGUUUUCAUCGGGCCUGGAAAUCAGCACCGUCAGGCGAUUCCAGAACAUCCAUGCGCUUGCAUGAAGAAAAGAUCCCAACAGACGUGUUGGUUGAUCGCCCCAAAGUACUGGAUUUCGAGUCUUUAAAGCCCCCGGCAGGUUGGACUCGAAUACCGCCAGUUAUCCAAGCUCGAGCUUGGGGACUCGAGUGCUGAUGUAUGCGAACAAAGUUUUUGCCCCGGAGCAAUUAACUGGACUCGACCGAUCGAGUAUUCCAAGCGUGUUACGCAACCAUCCCACACAGCAUCAAUACAAUUUGCAGAAAUACCCUGUGGUUUCCGAGUCACAGGCUAAGAACUCUCGAAGUUCGGGCCUGACGAACACUUGAGUCAAUCGACCGACAGAAGAUUAUUUGCAAUUUGCUACACAGUCGAGUAAUCAGAAUAAGAAAACUCUUGCGUCCCUACCCGAGCCUACGCCUCGAAAAGGGACUUGUGGGCUAACUGACGAGGGAAUGACGCUUCAAGUACUCAACCUUCAUAUACCCGAUACAGCCCAACAGGGGGUCCACUCGAAGGCCCAUCAAGUAUAUGCAGGUCGAGUCCCUCAAAGUGCGGCUCAAGCCAAAGAACAUAAUCUUAUCAUACCGGAAUGAACUGAUCUGAUUGUAACCUUCCCGAUUAUCACACCCGAGACCUAACCGCCAAUAUAUAAGGCUAGGAGGUGGGAUCGGGAAAGGCGAUCCUUUAUACACACGCCAGAUUCAUCUGUGCUUCAUAGCUUCAUAGCUUUCCUGUAAUCUCAAUCAAUACAAUACACCAAAAGCAGUACGUAGGGGUAUUAUCUUCCGAGGGCCCUAAACGUGGGUAAACCUUGCGACUCUCCUAGUCUUUGUUAGUCGAUGAGAUUGCUAGUGCACCUCGUGUUCUUCCUCAGUCAAAAACGUUCGAGUUACGGAAUUGCCGAGGUAACUCCUCGACAGCCGUACAUCACCGAAUCAGCAUCCGAACUUCUGACCUUUCUUUCUUGUAUGGAUCAAACGGACAACCAGCUGUACUUCCUCCUUUCAUACUCCUGAUUUUUUUUUUCUUUUUUUCUUUAAGAUCAAAACCAGUUCUUUCUCCCUUCAUAACUAACGAUAACGAUGGCACCCGAUCGGGAAAAAAAAACGAUAACGAUGGCACGUUAUUUGAAUACGACACUAACUUGUAUUGGCAGCACCCGCAUGUUUCUAGACUCUUCCACCAGGCAGUUCGUCAGUACAGAUUACGUGUACUAUUCUUUACCUUAGCGCAACGAGUCAAAGACUAUAACGCCGGUCUACUGCGUCCGGCCUUCUCGUUCUUUUCCAUGCAACUACCAGGCAACAUCAAACCAAUAGUAAGCACGAGGACCUGCUGGACUCGAUAACGCCACAUAUAUGAAGAGGCGUGGUUCCGCAGUCCAGUGGGAAUUGCACAUCGCACAUUGAUCCUCUCCCUCUUCCUUGAAAAAUAACUCUCUGUCUCUCGAAUCUCGCCCCGCAAUCUCUCUCGAAAUCAUGGCGCCGAUGAAGGUGUUCGGGUCGGCGCCGUUCACGAACGUGGCACGGGUGCUGGUGUGCCUGGAGGAGAUCGGCGCCGAGUACGAUCUCGUGGACAUCGACUUCCAUGUCAAGCAGCACAAGGCCCCUGAGCAACUCGCCAGAAACGUACGUCAAUACAAGGAAACACAUAUAGGGUCGAGGGAUCAUUCAUCCCUCGUUCUCAGAGUUGAUUUGGAAAUAAGUUCCCGCAAAAGGAAUAAGAUUAGGAAAUAAGUUUUCCAUAGAAAUAUAUUUAUAAAUAGUACCACCAGUAAUUAACUGUGCUCUACUCCAAACAGCCAUUUGGACAGGUCCCGGCGUUCCAGGACGGCGAUCUGUUACUCUUCCGUGAGUCCACACACUUCAUAAACCCCAUCAAUUUUCAAAUCCUUCUACUAUUUCGGAAGCAGGUCACUGAGCACAGAAUUUUCUUUCCAUCUUUCUCAGAAUCCCGUGCAAUUUCGCGGUACGUGCUCCGGAAGUACAAGACCGAGGAGGUGAAUCUACUGCGGGAAGGCAACCUGGAAGAGUCUGCGCUCGUGGACGUGUGGCUAGACGUGGAGGCGCUUCAGUUCGACCCCGUGAUGCACUCGGUGUUCUAUCAGCACCGCGUUGUGCCCGUCCUGGGCGGGACAACUGAUGCGAAGAUGGUCGAGGUGAGCAUCGGGAAGCUGAAGAAGGUGCUGGACGUGUACGAGGCCCAGCUGAGCAAGCACAGGUACCUGGCAGGGGAUCUCGUCAGCCUCGCCGAUCUUAGCCAUUUCCCUGAGACGCACUACUUCAUGGAGAUGCCCCACGCGGCGGUGUUCGAUUCGUAUCCUCGUGUUAAGGCGUGGUUGGAGGAUCUCAUGUCCAGGCCGGCCGUCAAGAAGGUUGUUAAAAUGAUGGGCCAGGAAACCCACUAAAAGUUGUGCUAGUCUGUGCCGUACGUACUACGCCUGGUGCCUACUUACUAGCUGUACGCAUGGUGCCUCUUUAUUCCUUAGCUUUAGUUUCAGCUUAAUUUUGUCUUGCAAAUAAUAUACGUGUACCGUGCGCUCUGUUCACUUCACGGUAUUGUUCGCUUUAGUCACUAGAUUGUCUAGGGCAUCUACGGUGGAAGAUAACACUGUCAUUUCUUAUGUGUUCUUAAAAACAAGUACAACAAAUAUUGUACCAUAAGUCAUCUUUUAGUGUCAUAUCUUACAAUUAGUGUUUACGUGAAUAAAAUUAAUUAAAUAAAUGCUAAGAAAACGUGAAUUCUAGUAUAAUUAUAAAACUGUCUUAUUAUUGCUUUAUCCUUCUUGUGAAGAAAUUAUCUAUUAGUUAAGAAAACAGCUUGCUUUGAGAACCAUGGUCUAUGAGGAAUCGCCAGUCUUCCACUCGCUUUCAACUCAUGCAUUAUAUUCUAGGAAGUAUGCAUCUUUCCUGGUAUGAGUAAUAAAAAAAUCACCAUCAUUCAUCAGUCAUGUACUCAUGUUCAGCACACCAAACAUUAUGUACUUGAACCAAUACAUUUGUAAAUGGAUUAAGAUGUCAUGAAGAUAUGCCAUCUGAGGAAAGCAUAAAAUUGUCAUGAGCACUCUGAUGUAAGAAAACAGCUAACCAAUCAAUUAUGCUUUGUUAAGUUCUUACACUGGGACAUGCCACAAUCUCAGUAUCUCAUCUAACAUGUAGAUAUGGCUGCAAACUGUGUUCAUAUAUUUUCGCUGAUUCUACGCCUGCAUAGUAAGUUAGACACAUGUAAGUGCACCAUGGUAAGAGAAAAAUGUCUAUAAUAACAUUAAGCAUCUGAUGCAAAUAAUGCCAAAUCAAAUGCAGUCUUGUAAUGGGAGUAGCAAAAUCCCGAUCGAAAGUUCUUGGUCACCUUAAUCACUGGGUCAAUCAAAAUUCUCUUUAAUUAUAUGCCAUUGGGGAAAUUAUCACUGAAGUACCAAGUAUUAGUACCAACAUAUAUAUUAAUUGGUGCUCACAACUAAUGAGGAUCGGAGAGAGUAAUACUAAUUUAUAUUCAUAUAUGUACAUAGGUAAUUAUUUCCAGACACGGUCUAUUGCAAUCCAACUACAAGGGAAAAAGGAAGUUAUAUGUUUGGUACCAUCUGUCAAUUGGUUAAUGUGAGUAAUGUCAGACAUAAGUCUCGGGCCGGCUAACGAUGCCGGCAUGCCCAAGCAAUGCCCACAGCACGGUUAUGAACUCACCGCCACGCCGGAGCGACUUCGCAUGCGCCGUGACAUUCUCAGACGGCGCCAGGAAGACGAUGAGCUCCGCCCAGAACUCGGCCAGGACCUUCCACACGAGCUCCUCGUUGCCGACCUCCUCCGCGAGCUGCCGGCCUAGCUUCGACGCCUUCCUCAGUGCUUGGUUCGUACUCCCGCCGAGGCACGUCGCCAGGCGCUCGUACCGCACCAGCGGCCCCGCGCAGCGCGCCAGCACCCUCGUCGCCUCCUCCACAACUCCCUCGUAGAGCUCCUCUGUCCAUGCCGGGUGAUCCGGUAACAGCUCUGGCUUCAUAGCGACGAGGUAGGCACAGUAGCGUGACAGGUGAGUUGCCACGACCUCAUGGCCUCCAUCUGCGUCGACAUUGUCGCUGCUGCCAUGAGCUCCCUGAUCUGACCGCUUGAUCUCGAGUAGCCUUGUGGCGACAUGCCACACAAGGAUCUGCUCGGAGAUGCUUGUCUCAUCACCACCAAUGCCGUCAUCGGCGCCGCCUGCACCGAUGCGGCAAGCCCAGACGAGCUUAUCAGCGACGCCGUUGCGUCGAAGAGAAAGCACGCCGUUUACCAGUGAUCCUUGGUUCGUCCUCAGAGUGGUGACGAUGGCUGACUUCACCCACGCUGGCACGGCGACGGAUGUCUUUGCGAUCCGGUCCACAUGCCGGGACACGCACCCGCAGUAGCACAUCCGGGGCUGCAGGACGGACGACUGGCCGAACCGGUCGUCCCAGCGCUGCACGGCCUUGAACCGGAGGACGCGGCCGAGCUUGCGGCGAGUCCAUGGCGAUUUCCGCCACGACGGGCGGCGCGCGUACUCGCAGAGGGUGGCCACCUUGAUCCAGUCGGAGCGGACGUAGUUGGCGAUCUCCCACCCUUCCGUGAACACGAUGGCGAUGAUGAAGGACACGGUGACGAGCAUGUCGAGGCCGACGAUGGCGUGGAAGAUGGUGUCGUGGUUCUGCAGGUAGCUCCUGAGUUGGUUGUAGUCCACGGCCAGCGCCGUGCCUCUGUUGGUCAUGUCGUGCACGAUGGCCCCGCCGGCGGCCAGGCAGCUCAUCCACGUGGCCAGCACGAGGGUCGAGUUGAGCACCGGGAACCACCAACCGCUCGCGUAGAAAGAGGUCAGCUUGGAGUAGAGCAAGUCGGCGAGGAAGGAAAGCUCGGUCUCGAUCACCCGGAAGGCCCUCUCCGGGCUACUACCUGCCCCCAGGAGGCCAUCCUGCACGAACGCCAAUGCUCGGCGAGAGCCCACCUCGGCGAGGGGGCACCCGAGGAACCGCCGGAGCUGCAGCUUGAACAGGGAAAAUGAAAGGCAGAGAUCUUUAAUCUGCGGAUAAGACGCGAGGAGCGAGUCUCCCGUUGAAGAAAGUCGCCAUAUCCGGUCCACCGUGACGACAUGCCCAGCAUCGAUGGACAACGAGGUCUGGCCAAUUCGGUACCCUCGCGGCCUGGCCUCGAUGUGUAGCUUCUCCUCGCCCAUCACCAAGUACGGAGGCAUGCUGUCUUCUUCUCCAUGUGGCAGGAGGUCUUCUUGUUGCCCAUAGAGCUGUUUCAUGUAGUCAGAGAUGAGGUAGGCGUUGAGCCCGACGGCGAAGGAGUUCUUGGCGAGCUCUGCAGCAACGAGGCGGUGGAUGAGCUUGACGAGGCUGAGCACCCACAGCCAGAGCAGCACGCCGGUGAGCUGCGGGCUCCCGGCGUUGCCGCCGCUGCUGAUGAUGAGGAACGCCACCCAGCCCAUCCGCGCCAGCUGCUCGACAGAGGGGCGGAACUUGCUGCUGCCGCUGCUGCCACCGGUGCUGUCGAUGGUGAGGGAGGAAGACCGCGCGGUGUCGACGGUGUUGCGCAGGAUCUGGAGGAAGACGGUCCAUGCGAGGAGGAGGGGCACGCGCGCGGCGUCCCAUUUGGCGGCCGCCGAGACGGCGUAGGAGACAAGCGGGAGGAACAAGGUGGAUGCGGCCCACACGAAUAGGCGCAGGGCCGGGUGGCCCGCGCGCCGGCGGUAGGAGCUGAGCACCACGAGGAGGGAGAGGAGGACGAUGCUCACGAUCGCCGCCACCUCCAUCAGGAGGAGGUUCAGUAGGCUCGUGGCCAUGGCGAAAAUCACCUCGAUGCCUCGAUCGAUCACUCUCCUCCGAACCCAAGCUAGCUAACAGUUAUUAAUUGUUCGAAUUUCGCAAGACAAGACAAGCGUGUGCAGGGUGUAGUUAUUCAUGCAUGCAUGUGCAUGGAAUCAGCAGGUGGGUAAGCUUCAUGCAUGCAUGCUGCAGGGUGAUCAGAAGAAGGUUGGAUUGCAAGCCAAGUAAAGGACAGAAUUCAAUUCUAUGCUUUAGGCACAAACUCAAACAAGUAACUGGCUGUAAAGUCGCACAUCACAUGCACGAUGCUUGAGCCUUCAGGUAUACACAAGACACUUCAUCCAGCAGGUUUGUGCAGCUUAAAAUUGUUUUAUCCAUGAUAUAUACUACUCCGUACUAAUUUAUACAGCUCACGCGUGAGACAUGUGUACUAUAUAUGUGGCAGGAAAAGUUGAUUCUACUCCCGAGCUUUUUGCUCCUUCUAUCACAGCCGCUCAUCAACUAACGUGCAUGUGACGGGAUUUCGGACGGAAAGUUAGCACUUUUCGUGCAGCAUGGUUAUUUCGAUCGGAUCGACAUACUCGCAGUUGUUUCGAUCGGAUAGACGUACUCGCAGUUCUUCUCGCGGGCGGAAGACCUUGCUCUCAUCUGGCAGUAGUUUAGUAGAGAUGCAAUCGGAAACAUAUACACUAAACCUAUUUUUGUACUGUUUCCCGCUGCACGCGCCUUCAAAAACCUUGUCCGAUCCGCAUCCACUUUCGAUCCAUAUAAACUAUGCCAUAUCGAUCAGCAGUACGUAAACAGUAGUCCACUGUUAUUGAACAGCAUCCUUGUGAUUUGAUAAGUUAGGCACGGUGUCCACGCGCGAAUGUAACUCAACAGGUUGAUGCAAAAUAAAGCAAAACGUUGUAUGUACUGCAGCUGUGAAUCCGAUAGAGAGAGAAAACACAUAUUUCUUCCGUCCCAAAAUAAGUGAUGUGUAUUUGUAUAAGAAUUUAUACAAUUCCACGUCAGUUAUUUUGGUGUGUGUAUAAAGAGAGGGAGAUAUAAAAAACACAUUCUUGAGAGAGAAUUGAUAAUAUAUAGAGGGACAAAGUAAACACAUAUUCUUGAGAUAGAAUGUAUAUAUAUAUCGACAGAGAAAAGUACCUAUUCUUGAGAGAUGGUGGAUAUUAUGGAGAGAAAGUACAUGUUCUGAAGAGAGAAUAUAUAUAUAUAUAUAUAUAUAUAUAUAUGUAUGUAUAUAUAUAUAUAUAACAUAUAUUUUGAGACAGUUGUACAGGCAUGGACCACUGUUGUAAUCUCUGGAUGAAAACUUUACCGUGGGCACCACCAGUAUGAUCGUGAGAUAUAUUUACUCACUCCGUCUCAUAUUAAGUGACGAAAUAUUACAUGUAUCAAAAUGUUUUUUUAUACAGGUGCAUCCAUAAAGAGGGCUAUAUUCUUGCAGCCAGCAGCAAAUAGACCUACGAAUGUCUGAAUUGGUUUUAGAUCAUAGUGUGUCAGUGUUGUCGGCCCCAAAGUUUUCAUAAUGAUUUCACUAUUCAACGACAUGACCGCAACAGUGUUACGCAUCUUUUUUUCCAUCACCAAAUAGUACACCUAUGUUGGACUAGGUAGCCAGUAGCCCAGUACUAACGGCUCUCGGCAACGUCUCCGUUUGCUGCAGCCAUACUAGCUGCAUGAUGCCAUCGCUAUGAAAGAUCGGACGGCGCUUGACGUGUUCGUGGACGGCUUGGAUAGGUGGAGUAAAAAGCUCGAGACCAAAAAAUCCACUCUCGUGGGUGGCACCUUCUCACGCAAAUAUGAAUGUACUACAGGAAAAGUCGCCUGAAAUUUCACGGAUUUCAAUCUUUUUUUACUAGUCUUCGGAUUAGCAAUUUUGCAUCCCGACUGCCACUUAUUUUCUCUUAACGUGGUGGAUUGGCGGAUCUACGAUUUUACCACUCCGGGUGCCCACCUUAUAUAUACACAUUGUGUUGUGCAAAUAUCAAGGAUAACAAACAUAAGUUAAAUUAUGCCCUAAUUUUACCACUGGGGGUGCCGCGCCACCUUAUACACAUAGAUUAGUUCAAUAUUUUUGAAUGCAAGAAAUCAUUACUGAAAUGCCCUACUUUUUUGACAGCAGAAAAAGAAAAUUGGCCUAGUGAAUAAAACAAAAGGGAUGUUUCCACAUAAGCACCGAGUUAUUGGAUCCUAAAAACUCACCCUGUAUCAGUUUGCUCGAACAUCAAAUAGGGUCAGCCACAGCAGCAAACCUUGAUAAUCGACCUUUCACAUAGAUUAUUUAUUCGGUGGCAAGCAGGGAUAGCAAUCUGAAAACUUGAAAUAUAAAUGGUCAAAAAUAACUAAAAAAUUAUAAUCUCUAGAGAACCAUUUCAUCUAAAUGGACUUCAGCACAAAUGUUUUCAAUAAUGUAAACCAUCUCACUGAAUUCUCAGCCCACUACGACGACCAUUUGACCAUUUUUUUAUUGUUUUUGCGAGUAGAACGAACUUCGAAUCUCACAACCAAGCAAGGUGAAUACAGGCACAACCUGGUCCACGAUGACAUGAAACAUAACUCCUAAAGCAAUCUCCUCCACAACCUUGCAGAAGAAGAAAGUCCUAAAUCAUGGCCUGGCAUACGUGUAUCUAGCCAGCAAGGCGGUCUAUUUCAGUAACACUAUGUACAUGAAUGGAGUGACAAACAUGAUCUAGCCAACAAUACCAGACCAUUUGCAAAUCAAAGCAUACCAGCAUGCCAGCAAAGAAACACAUUCAGAAAUAAAGGCUGAAAAUAAACACAGCAUAGCCAAUCAAUCACUUUGUUUUUCUAGUAGAAUAUCUUGCCUGCAACCUUGACUUUUUAAGCUGGGCAGACUGUGCGGCAGGCCUGGGGCAAUGUAUUAGAUGCCAAUGCUUCUACAUACCUGUGCAUGGUGGAUGAAGAAGAAACUUCAAUUGGAAUAAAAAAUAACUAAGUCACUGGAUCAAUCAAGAAGUAAACAUGGAGAGAUUUAGAGACUAAGGAACUAACAUAUUUGUAUGAGAACAUGACCAUGGGAUCCAGCAACUGUCCGUCCUUCAUGGUAUCAAUGUGUACACGGGUUCUGCCAUAACGCCCAGGCAUCUUUAGUAACCGGGGCCAAGUUGAAAUGGAAAAUGGAAAAUAGAACAUGUGACAUUUUUUAAUAAACUAUCAUACUACGAAGAAUAUCACAACUGAAUGAAAAAAUAGCAGUUACCAUGAAGUUCUAAAGAACACGGUUUUGAGCACUUUAUUUUUAUAAUAUGGCAUAUAUUUCUAAAGAACACGGAUUUGAGCACUUUAUUUUUAAAACAUGGCAUAUACAUCUAAAGAACAUGGAUUUGCAUUCAGUUCAAAGCUAUGAAGCAUAUCACAACUGAAUGCAAAAAUAGGAGUAACCAUGAAGUUCUAAAGAACACGGAAUGUUUGAGCACUUUAUCAUGGCAUAUAUUUCUAAAGAACACGGAUUUUAGCACUUUAUAUGUAUAACAUGGCAUGUACAUCUGAAGAACAUGGAUUUAAAUUCAGUUCGAAGAUGGCAUAUACAACACAAAUUUUGCAUUCAGUUCAAAGAUGGUAUAUACUUCUAAAAGACAUGGAUUUCCCUUGCGCUAAGGAGUAUUUGCUAUACUGGCUUUGUCAAUGCUAAUUGCUAACCCCACCCAUGCUAGUGUGAGUGUUGUCCAAAAAGACGUACGAUCAUCUCCGUGUCAAGGAGCAGAUCAGGGAAAGAAUUACCAGAUCAAUGCUUGUCUGCAACAAUGCACACAUGAGCUGCCAAACUGAGCUUCCCUCGGCUACAAACCCAGAGAAUUCAUUUCUCCACACUGACUAAUACACACUGGCUUUGUCAAUGCUAGUUGCUAACCUGACCCAUGCUAGUGUGAGUGUCAACCAAAAUGAUUCAAUGCCACCAUAUUGGUUAUGUGCCAUAUGUUCCUCAGCUGUGAGUUGUGACAGGCAGAUGAUGUGUUAACUGAACAGAAAACACGAGUUUGCCAGAAAGAAGACAAAAUUGCCUUUUAUGUGUGGAUGAUGUGGUAUGUCGACUAUCACUUGCGCCUGGCACACGCAUAUCAGUAAUCUGCAGUUUGCUGUUUCCAUGUUUUUUCUGGUGUUUGAAACGCCCUUCUUCAGCAUUUGGAUGCUACGGAAUUAACAUGCAGUCUCUCGUCAUGUUUUGUACUGCAGAUCUUCAGCAUGCGGCCAUAGGAAAUUAUAAUGCACAUAUCAACUUGCUUUGAGAACCAUGGUCUAUAAGGAAUCUCCAGUCUUCAACUAGCUUCCAACUCAUGCAUUACAUUCUUGGAAGUAUGCAUAUUUCCUGGUAUGAUUAAUCAAAAAAUCACCAUCAUUCAUCAGUCAUGUACUCAUGUUCAGCACACCAAACAUCACGUACUUGAACCAAUACAUUUGUCAAUGGAUUAAGAUGUAAUGAAGAUAUACCUUCUGAGAAAAGCAUAAAAUUGUCAUGAGCACUCUGAUGUAAGAUAACAGCUAACCAAUCAAUUAUGCUUUGCUAAGUUCUUACACUGGGACAUGCCACAAUCUCAGUAUCUCAUCUAACAUGUAGAUAUGGCUGUUAACCGUGUUCAUAUAUUUUCGCUGAUUCUACGCCUACAUAAUAAGUUAUUGACACAUGAGUAUGUAUGUAAGUGUACCAUGAUAAGAAAAAAUGUCUUAAAUAAUAACAUUAAGGCCCUGUUUGGAACAGAGGAACUCAAAACAUAGGAAUAGGAAAAAACACGGGGAUAGGAAAGGAAUGCAUGUGCAAAACAGAGGAAUCAGAAACACAGGAAAGUUUUGCAAAAACCUGUUUGGAACACAGGAAACUGAAAACACAGUAAUGUUUCUACAUAAAGAUAAAAUAAGGUUAAAUUCAUUUCAUUUUCCCUAUAUUAGAUAAUGAUUGGAUCUGCAUAGAAAACUUGUAAUGAAAAUUUGGAACACAUGAAAAAAUAUAUUGAGAUGAUUGACAUGUACUAUUAAGAAUCGCAAUCAUAUUUUAUUAAUUAGCACAUCUUCAACUAGUCUCUCCUGUUUCUUCCCCUCCCUCUCUUCCUGUCUCCUCUCAGUACGGGCUGGUUCUGUAUGUCAGAAGCCCACAACGCAGCUGCAGGCUGCAGCCUCGGUCUUACACGCUCGAGUGAAAAAAAGAGAUGCUAGUGGAUGUUUAUAUUCCUGUGCAAUUCCUGUGAAAGCAAAGGAAAUGGAUUCCUAUCCUCAUACCUAUUCCUACAAUCCAAACGGCCCAAAUGGUUCAAUUCCAUAGGAAUCACACAUCCUACAUUUUUCCUGUGAAAAUACUGCAAUCCAAACGGGGCCUAAGCAUCUGGUGCAAACAAUGCCAAAACAGAUAGAAGCUUGUAAUGAGAGUAGCAAAAUCCCAAAACUUCUUGGUCACCUUAUCACUGGGUCAAUCAAAUUAUCUUUAUAUGCCAUUGGGGAAAUUAUCACUUAAAUACCACGUAUUGUUAUUUUCGCGGUUACGCUAGUAUAUAAAAUGAUUAAACUUGGUAAAUUAAUAAGCUAAGAAGAAAGUAAAUUGCAUUAUGCAAAGAGACUGCCUAUAUCAGAUUUUUGCACUCAAUAGCCAGUGUUGCCAUGUGAAGAUAGAGAACAUUGCUUAUUUUUCUAAACAAGAUAAGAAUAGGUAAACACAUCAUUAGUUGGUCAUUUUGCUAAGGUUUUGGCAUGUUUCCUAAUUACUCCUACCAUAAUACCCAUGCAUUGCUACGGAGUAAAAAAUACAUUAUCUAUAUGUUUAAAGACAAUGUUGUACUACCAUCUAUUAACUUUGAUUGUACAUCUAUACCUGUUCUCAUCUCAAUGAUUUAUGCCAAAUCAACAAGUGAUGCAGUUUGAAGGUGACGGACCACCGCCACCAAUUGAGUCUUUUAUAUAACUAAGUAUAUAAAAUUAUUAACCUUUUUAUAAAUUAAUAAGCUAAGAUGAAGUACAUUACAUUGUGCAAAGAGAGUACCUAUAUCAAAUUUUGCACUCAAUAGCCAGUGUUGCCAUGUGAACAUAGAGAAAAUUUCUUAUUUUCUCAACAAGAUAAGAAUAGGUAAACAUAUAAUUAGUUGGUCAUUUUGCAAAGGUUUUGGCAUGUUUCAGAGUGACUCCUAGAUCUUAGACCGUUCAAAUACAGAAGGUAAAUGAUGUCUCAGCGAUCCAUCUUUGAAGUAAGUAUUACUUUUACCUCCAUUUUGUGUUGUUCUAUUUGACUUAAGUAAACAUUUCCUUAAGAUAAAAUAAACAAAACAUUAAAAAACUAACUGGAAAAUUGGGUUGCAGAAGUAAUCGUGAACUCCAGAAAGAGGUAUUAAACAUAGUGUCAGGGCAAACAAUAAUUUUACUGGACAAACAAUAUUAACUACCACUCCUGCAAUUCCACACAACAGGAGGAUUUUAUUCAUAGAACUGGAAGGAUUUCUAAGGGCACUAACACUGAGUUGUAUAAGCUAAUGAAUGCCCACUAAAGUCUCAUUUAAUAAUGAUGCAUAGAAACGGUGAAUUUCUUUUAACGUAAAUACAGCCAUAACAUUUUACAGCACAGGUUAAGUUUCUUGAAUUCUAGUAGAAACAACCAGCCAACUUACUGUUCUUGUCACGAGAAGUCAGCUAUAAAUUGCUGAUAUCAAUUGUAAUUGGUCUUCUUGAUGAGAUUCUCCUAAUGCGUCCGGUACAUCCCGUGAAUAUUUAGAUGCUGGAUUGUACCCUUCAUCCUUCAUGUGUUUACCUAGCCUUCUCAACUCGGUAUUUAUAAUUUCGGCAUCAGGAUGCUGCUGCUCCCCAACAACAAACACAUGAACUCGGCUGUUAAGCUCAACCCAACUGCAUCCUGGAUCUUUGCUAACUCCAACAAGUUUCAUCAAAUAUCUCACCCGCUCAACGUCAUUCCAUUUCCUCUGUGCAGCAUAGAUGUUUGACAACAAUAUAUAUGCUGCGGAGUCCCCAGUACCUAAAUCCAUCAGCUUUUCACCUGCAUAUGCUCCAACAUCAAAAUCCCGUAAGCUUCGACAUGCUCCCAGUACUAUACGCCACAAGCAUGUUCCAUGGUCGAUAGUGAUUGACUCUAUGAAAUCUUUUGCUUCACUUAGCAUCCCUGCACGGCUAAGAAUAUCCACCAUGCAAGCGUAAUGAUCGAGCCUAGGAGUUAAACCAUAGUCUUUGAUCAUUGACCUGAAGUAAGUCCAUCCUCUGUCAACUAGGCCCAUGUGACUACAAGCACAUAAUACAUUAAUGAACGUUACAGGAUCAGGAGCAGUGCCC